GCAAAGAAUGAAGGUGCUCGUGGUGGAGGUCGUGGUGGGCGAGGAUAUGGACGUGGUGGUAGUGGUAGUGGUGGUUACAGACGUGAUUUUGCAAAUGACGAGAACUUAUUCAGCAAUAAUGCUGUACCUGAAGAUGGAGAGAGUGGAAAACCCUCUGAAAGGCGUGGUUAUGGUGGUCCUCGACCUUACCGUGGUGGUCGCCGUGGUGGUUUCAGUAAUGGGGAAGAUGCAGACGGGGAGCGACCUCGCAGAUUGUAUGAACGCCGUAGUGGGACAGGGCGCGGGUAAAAACAGGAAGCUUUUGUUUAACAUUAGCUUUGAUAUAUUCUGCAUAUCAGUAUUUUAGCCAAGCCCCAAAGCUGAUGCUUUUGUGUUCUGUUCAUGUCUGCAGAAAUGAGCUCAAACGUGAAGGCUCUGGUCGUGGUAAUUGGGGAACUCAGACUGAUGAACUUGCUCAGUGAGUUAUCUGUAGUAGUUACAAUCACAACCUUCAGUUUUAUUGUAAAUCAAUAAAAUAUCACUUUGUUUCACUCUUCUUCCCUUAUUAUAAUCAUAAAAUGAAAAUGAAAUAUUGUAUUUUUAUUGUUAAGGGUGACUGAAGAAGUUGCCAAUGAAGGUGAGAGGAAUUUAGGUGAUGAAAAGCCAGCAGGAGAAGAGGAUGCUAGAGAUGCUAACAAGGAGAGUGCUUCAAACGAGCCUGAAGAAAAAGAGCCCGAGGAUAAGGUAAAUGGUUAUUGACGUCUGCAACUUUUGUUAAUUAUAUAUGAUAGCUGCUAAUUUGGCUAUUACUUUGUUCAACCUUCAUAUUGCAUUUUUAUAGGAGAUGACUCUUGAGGAGUAUGAGAAGGUGCUGGAAGAGAAGAGGAAGGCUCUGCAGGCUCUCAAGAUCGAGGAAAGAAAAGUAGAUGCCAAGGAGUUUGAAUCUAUGCAACAGCUUUCAAACAAGAAAAGUAAUGAUGAGGUCUUCAUCAAAUUGGUAAGACCAUUCGAUUCACUUUGAGAAAUUCAUCGUUAAUGACUCCAUCUUAUUAUUGGGAAAAUAUGUAGUAUUAAUCACUUGUUCCCUAUAAUUGGCUUCUACAGGGAUCUGAUAAAGAUAAGAGAAAAGAGGCUUAUGACAGAGAAGAGAGAGCAAAAAAGGUACUUUACUUAUUUUUAUUGACCUGUGUCAUAUAAUUUGCCUUCCCUUUUCCAGUUUGAACGUCAUUUGUGUGAUUAUUCUGUAUUUAAGGGAACUUAGUUUAUACUGAUGUCAAAGUCUCUUGAUUUAAGAAUUUGUCCCAUCUCUUCCAUGAUUAAAGCUUGCAUAUGUGCUUUCUCCUUGUACCGGUUUGUGCUAGUUUAUCUAUGGCUUGCAUUUAUAUUUUUUGCUGGCACGUACUGAUGGUCACUAUCCAUUUGGUGGUGGUGGGUAGUCUGUCAGCAUUAAUGAAUUUCUGAAGCCUGCUGAAGGGGAGAGGUACUAUAAUCCAAGUGGACGUGGGCAUGGUCGUGGGCGAGGUUCAAGAGGAUUCGGUGGAGGUAAUGCAGCAAGAGAUGUGGCGGCACCAUCCAUUGAAGACCCUGGGCACUUCCCAAUUCUUGGGGGCAAGUGAAGAAGUGAGAUUCCUUUAGAACCCGACAUAUGAUACCCAUGGGUUUUAUUGGAUUUUUAGGUACUUUUAAAUUUUGGGCUGGGAAUAAGAUAAAUAAUCUGGUUUCCUGUCGCCAAAGGAUCUCUGAAUUUUAUGUUGUAAAAUGUAUGUUUCAGGGUUUUUCUUUCUCUUUUUGUUUCUUGGGGGUAUUGCCCCCACUAUUGUUAUGCUUUGAUCGUACUGUCACUGCUCACUGCUCAGUUUUCUUUUGGAAUAGAUGGAACUAUUUUGCUACUUGUUUUCGAGCACUUUAGCAGUGUUUGCACCUGUUGCUUCCCUGAAUCUAAAGAUGAAUUAAUCUCGAUGCAGGGGAAGUAAAGCCUAUGAUUCUCUACCGUACUUCUGCCAUGGCUGCAUUGCAUUGUCUCGACUCGUCUUCCAUGAGACGAGAUGAAGCCAAACGCUUUUAAAUCUUAAUCGUCAAUGCAUGUGAACAUCUAAUUACUGUCUUCAAAUCAUAUUUUUUUCACGUAAUCUUUAAAUCAUAUUGAAACUAUUAGUGUAAGAGCAUAGACGCAAGCAGCGACAUCGCUUUAGGGGUGAGCAAAAUUCGAUUCGAUUCAAAAAAAUAAAAGAAAAUUUUAAUUUCGAAUUAUUCAAAUUGAGUUAAUCGAAUUAAUCGAAUCAACUCGAAUUUUUUUUUUCAAAUUUCGAGUUCGAGUCGAUUUGAAUUCUCAAAUUUAAAUAACUCGAAUAAAUCGAAUAUAAAUAAUAUUUUUAAUUUUUUUUAAAUUUUAAACUUUUACUAAUUAAUAAACCCAAGCCCAAUUAUCCUAAGCCCAAAUAUUUUAUUUUACCCCAUUUUUUUCUCCACCCCAACCCCAAGCCCGUCUGCCUAGAAAUUGUUUUCCCAAAACCCAAUUGGCCUAUUCCUCCCCCAAAUCAAUUCAAACCCCCAUGCCAGCCAAUUCCAAUUAUUUUUCUUAUUCUCUCUGUACUCUGUUUUUUUUUUAUGAAACCCUAAAAUUAAACUCUCUAUUCAAACCCCCAUUUCCAUUAAACUUUUGUUGUGUUCUUUUUUUUUUUGAAGUGUUGUAGGUUUCUAUUGUAUUUUGGACUUUUGCUUAUAUUUUUUUUAUUAUAAUGUUGUUGUUUACUUCGACUCAUGCUGUUUAUUUUGACUUUUAUUUAUGUUUUUUUAUUAUAAUCUUCUUCUAUUUUUUUGUUGUUUUUUUAGACUAAUGUUGUUUAUUUGGGUUGAUAUUGUGUUGCUUGUAUUUAUUCACUUAUUUACUUUAAUUUUUUGUUGUAUGAUCAUGUAUAAAAACUUUAAAGAAUUAUUUUUCUGAAAAAUUACAUAAAAAUAAAUAACGCUAGAGUCAUUUUUUUAAAACUUAACUCGAACAAAUAUAUUCGAUUCGAUUCGAUUCGAAUUCCAUCUCACUCGACUCGAUUCGAGAAAAUUUCAAAUAAAGUUAGGAUGAUAAAAUAAGAUUCGAAAACUCGAUUAACUCGAAAAUUUUCGAUUCGAUUCAAUUCGAUUCGAUUCGAUCGAAUGCUCACCCCUAAACAUCGGAGCUUAGAAAGUUGGAACUGAUUAUUGUCGGAUUUGCGUCAUGAAUCCGCCUUGUUUACUAUUGUAAGUUGUACGUUUUAGGGAAGGGCUGCGUGGUUUAGAUAACAUAUGAAUCAAAUUUUUAUUGUUGGCUUACCUACUCGAAUUUGAAUUUGAAAAUAUUUAAAAUAUGUGAAUCAAUUUUUAAUUAUAUCUAUUUAUUAUAAAGACAGUUUGGAUGUGAUGAGUAAUAAAAUAAUUCUCUUACAUUUUAUUAUAUUAUUUGUUUUUUAAUACCUUACUUGUCAAUUGUUCAAGCAAAAUGUACAUGUCUGUUUAAACUUUGAUCUACAUAUUUUAAAUAUGCUUUAUAUUAAAUUUGACUUAGAAUUUAAUGUUUUAUCUGAUAAGUUAAUAGAAAGAUUUUAUUAAUACGAUAUUAAUAUUUUGAGUACUAAAUUAAAAAUAUGAUAGAGAGUUAAAUAUUUAACAAAAGCAAUAGAAAAACAUAGAAUAAAAUAAGAAUAUGUAUUAAUUGUAAUCAUGAAGAAUAUUGACGUAAUUAUAGUUAAUAACCUUGUCUAAAUGGGACAGCCAAGUCUCCUAAACAAAAUUUAAAUAACAUAUCACUUGUUAAACUAAAACAAUCCCUGUAAUAUUUGUUGAUACAAAUAAUUAACAAGGAAGAGAUGGAGGGGAGUGUCAAUUCACCUGUGACAAACGAAGGGGAAGGGGAGAAAGUCUGGUUGAUGUUUAGGGUUUUUGUCUGCGAAAGGUGAGAUCAUUGGUCUCUCGUGCACUUGGAUAUAUAUAGAGGCUUACCCAUUGUAUUGUUAUGCCAUGUAGCCGAUAGCAUUAGGGUCCAUAUGAUUAUGCGAUCGACCAGGUAUUAUGUGGUCCUGCUCAGACAUACAGUGUACUAUGUGGUCCUACUCAAACAUUCUUAUCCUUGACAUUUUACGAGUUGUUACAUCUCAAUGGUCUCUACAAAGGGUAUACAACGAGUGAUCCCCACGAAGGGUGCGUAGUGGGUUGUUUCUAAGUUGGUUUAGAUAGAAAAUCUGCGGACCAUUUUAAGCGAAGGGUUGUUACUAACAGUCCCUAGUAGAGGGUUGUCAACAAGUUGUUCAAUACGUGUCAUGCUCUUGUAUGGGUAUAAUUGCCUCCCAAGCAAGAGAUAGUUUACAAAGUGGCCUACGUUGAGACUAUUUAGUGAAUAGCUACAAUGGAGAGUUACCAAAGUAAUCCAUGUAAUGGAAGAGGUGGAAUAUGAAAAGUUGUGAUGCUUAUGAGUAUAGAGAACGCUUUAGGAAAAAGGGGGUGCACUGAAUAUUCCAGAAAUUGUGCAUUAAUGGUGGAGCAUUACAACUAUUCUUUGGAAAACGACGCCAAUGAUGGGGUAGACUUUGUGUCCUUUUGUGGGACACGGUCUAGUUGGGUUGCUCCAUAAAUUAUUAGGUCUGCUAGAUUUGAAAUGCACUAUUUUGGGAAGUCCCUUUAAAUAGCCAUGAUUUCAGAGGCUUAAGGUUAUUUGCUUCAUCUUCAAAAUUUCCUAAGUGUUCAAGCCUUCAAGUUUUUCAGUUUUAUUUUUCGUUAUUUAAAUUUUCUAAGUGUUUACUCUUCAGUUUCUCUAUUAUUCUCAUCUUCUUUCACUUUUAUUUUUUCACCAUCUUUGCUUGUUCGGAGUUAGGGUGUAUGUUCAGGGUAAGGCUUAAUUUUUGAAUCUUUUUCUUUUUUUGUUUUGAAUUAGCACCGAUAGCCAAAGGAAAUAAAUGAGAGGAGAUUGGGCCUUAAGAGGCAGUGGCUAAGAAGGUGAAGAAAAUUCCUAGGUUAGAGAGGGAUGUAGUAGUGAUUGGCACUUUUGAGUGCACCAAGACAAAAGAGAUGUCUCGAUUACUCCGAUGCCGAGGGCUAGAGCCAAAGCACUAUCGAUAUGAAUUCAAUAGUCUAAGGGGUGAGUUUUCUCUAAGUGCAAUGAGUAGGCCUAACCAUGGGGGAAAGAUGCAUGGGUUUUACUUGUCGCUAUAUGUGUUAGACGCUAGGUUUCAUUUUCCACUUCACCCUUUUGUAUGUGAGAUUCUUAAUUAUUAUAGGAUAGUUCUGGGACAAUUAGCAGGGUUUUCAUGGUGGGUAAUAAUUAGGUUCUUGUUGUUGUGCUGUGAUUGUGUGGGGGGGAGAGGUCCCCCACUAGUUGAACCAAACAACUCACCCCAGGUUGUUAUACCUCACAAAGCGUCAAAGGUCCCCUGAUAGAAAAUUUGCUCUAUGGGUGGGCCAGCAACUUGAGCCUAGACAGACACAAGUACAUUGUAAUAACCCGAAAGUCAGUGGUGUUGGAAAACACGAUUUCGGAACCCCAUUUCUAUAAAUCAAGACCGUAAAUAUUUACGGAUGUAUAUUGUAGAUUAAUUGAAUUUUGGAUAGACAAUUUUGUUGAAUUAGAGUUUAAUUAAGGUAUAGGGACUAAAUCGUAAAAUUGGUAAAAAUUUUUAUCACUAAAGAAUUUAAUAAUUAAAAAUAAGGAUAGGGACUAUUAUGGCAAUUAUACCAUCUAAGUAUUAUUAUGGCUAGUUUUUAACUAAUGUAUGCAUUUAUAUUAUAAAAAUUUUAGUUUAUUUAAAAAUUACAAAUAAAACAUAAAUUAAAAAGGAAUGAAAUAUAGAUAGUGGAGAAACAAAACAUUUCUAUUCAUUUUUCAUUCAUGCAACCUGAAAACAAGAAGAAGAAAGAAGUUUGGCCUUAGGAUUCCAUUUUUAAGGCUUCAAAUUGGUAAGUGCAAUUUAGUCAUUUUCUUGUAAAUUUUAUGCUUUUGGAGUCCUGAGAGCUUAAUCUUGUUGACUUGUGUGUUAUUUUUUGAAAUUGUUAAAGUUUUAGAAUGAUACCAUUGAUGAAUCUUUGAAGUUUUAGGUACUAAAUUGAUAGAUUUAAAGCUUAGAAGUGAAAAGGGACUAAAUUGUGAAGUUAAUUUAUAGUUUUGUACAAUACAAAACUUAUGGUAGAAAUUUAUGGUAGAAAUUAGAAACAAGAAGUCCUAAUUCAACUAUAGUGAAAACGAAUUGAAAAUAUGAGUUCUAGAUUGAAAGUUAUGUUAGUCUUGGUUUUAGGGACUAAAUUGAAUAAAAUGUAAAAGUUGUAUAAAUUUUCAAUUUAGUGUGAAUUUUAUUUUGUAUUAAUGAAUCGGUCCUAAGGUAGCGAAAUUCCUUGUCGGGUAAGUUCCGACCCGCACGAAAGGCGUAAUGAUCUCACCGGUGACUCUAAUCUAAUGCACUUGGCACCUAAGCUGUUUAUAUUAAUCCGUAGCUAAUGUUGACCUGGAUUCCUAGAAAAAGAAAGAAAAAGACAAAAUUAUCGGCGAAUAGCUCGGAGUUUACGAUUUGUGUUUCUAUAAUCUGAACUGUCUCAAUUGUUGCAUUUAUGAAUUUUGUUGUAUGGUAAGAUCAUAAGGUGAGUUACAAUUGAUAAAAUGGGUUGAAAUGAUUCGAUACGAAUUGGUUGUCUAUGUUAAGGAUUGAAUUGAAUAGAUUUAAAAAUAUUAUAUAUUUUUUAAAUGUGAAGUUGUAUCAAUUUUGUGAUGAUUUAUGUUGAUAUAUACAAGAAUUGUUGAUUGGUUGAUUGAGAUUAUGAAUUGGAAAUUGGGAAUCGAUUAUAAAUGAAUGUGAGAAACUCGUUACCCUAUUGACUAUUAGAGCAGGGUUGGGUAUAAUUGGCAUGCCAUAGGAUAGGAAGAGUUUAGGGUUUUUAUGACUAAGAGUUGAGGAGUGAUGGGCACGCCUAAUUGUCAGUUAUACCGACCAAUGUUGGGCGCAACUUACUAUUUCAAAUUUAUUCGAUUGGCACUGAGUGUCAAACUGGUGUGAUUGGUUGAAUUUGUGUAUCCAUCAAAAUCUGAGUCAGGUUAAUAGGGUUAAAAGUGGAAAUAAAAAUAAUGAAUUAUGAAAUAACUUGAUAAAAAGAUCGAUGAUAUUCAUUUUUAUUGAAAGCUUGGAAUUGAGAUAGACAUGUGGCGAUUUGGGUUGUUGUUGAUAGGCUGACUAAGUCGGCUCACUUUAUCCCCGUGCGUACGGAUUUUUCAUUGGAUAAACUAGCCGAAUUGUAUGUUUCUCAGAUUGUGAGAUUACACGGGGUACCUAUUUCUAUCGUGUCGGAUAGAGAUCCGAGAUUCACCUCACGAUUAUGGAAGAAAUUGCAAGAAGCUUUGGGUACCAAGCUGCAUUUUAGCACCGCUUUUCACCCCCAAACCGAUGGUCAAUCCGAGCGGAUAAUUCAGAUACUUGAGGAUAUGUUGAGAUGUUGCAUCCUCGAGUUCAGUAGUUCAUGGGAACGGUAUUUACCUUUGAUUGAAUUCGCUUACAACAAUAGUUUUCAAUCAAGUAUUAAGAUGGCACCGUAUGAGGCUUUGUACGGUCGUAAAUGCCGUACACCAUUGUUUUGGACCGAGCUCGGUGAAAGUAAAAUUUUCGGAGUUGAUUUGAUUAAGGAUGCUGAACAGAAAGUAAAGGUAAUCCGUGAAAGUCUGAAAGCAGCCACAGAUCGUCAAAAAUCGUAUGCGGAUUUGAAACGAAAGGACAUUGAAUAUCAGGUAGGAGAUAAAGUGUUCCUUAAAGUUUCGCCUUGGAAAAAGGUACUCAGGUUUGGCCGUAAGGGCAAGUUGAGCCCGAGAUUCAUUGGGCCGUACGAAAUUUCUGAACGAGUGGGGCCGGUUGCAUAUAGAUUGAUUUUGCCCCCUCAACUUGAAAGGAUGCACGAUGUCUUCCAUGUUUCAAUGCUUCGACGUUAUAGAUCCGAUCCGUCACAUGUGAUUAAUCCCUCAGAAGUUGAAAUUCAAUCUGACUUGAGCUAUGAAGAAGAACCGAUUCGUAUCCUAGCUCGUGAAGUGAAAGAGUUGAGAAAAAAGAGGGUUCCGUUGGUUAAGGUGUUGUGGCUCAAACACGGGAUCGAGGAAGCAACCUGGGAACCCGAGAGCUCGAUGAGAGAACGAUACCCAAACCUAUUUACCGGUAAGAUUUUCGAGGACGAAAAUUUCUUAAGUGAGGGAGAGUUGUGACAGCCCAAAAUUUACCCUAGUCGGGAAGUGGUUUCGGAACCACAAAACCGAGUUAUGAAGAUAAUUAAUUGUUAUAUUCUAUGUUUAUUAUGUGUGUGCAUGCAUAUGUGGAAGUUUCAUGCCUUAAUUUUUGCCAAUUGCAUGAGGAAUUAUUAAAUAGGGAUCAACAUGAGACAUGGUGAAAGAUGAUAGGCUAAUUUUUAAAGGGGCUUAUUAGUGCAUGUCCACACAAAGGUGGACUUGCAUGUCAAAUUGCCCAACUUUCCUUAUAGUGGCCGGCCAAGGUGGGAUGAUGAUGGGCAAAAUAUUUGUUGAAAUUGAUAUUGGGUUAUGGGAGUUAAUAAAUAAAAGAAAAGAAUGGAAAUGUGAUGAAAAAAAAAAGGGGGGCUUCAUUCUUGUCUUCUUGGCCGAAUUGAAGGAAGGAAUAGGGGCAAAGAACUUUCGGCCAUUUGAGUGUUUAAUAAGGUUAGUAUCUUGUGUUAAAAUUGUGAAAUUUUAGCUUGUUUUAGGUUAAUUAUCAUGGUUCUUACUUAGACCAUGCUAAAUUUUUUUUAAACUUUGAUGGAUGGAUGGACCAUUCGGCUAUGGCUAUUAAAGAAGGAAUUUGAUUAUUUCCUUUAAGUUUUGAUGGAUAAAGAAACAAAAGGUUAUAGAUGGAAGAAGUUAAUGUGUUAAGAGAUUAUAUGAAACUUAUUUAUGUUUAUAUAUGUUAUAUGCAUUGAAAUGGUUAUAGAUGAAUAUGAACUAAGAAACAUGUAUUAUUGAGUAAGUAGAAGAUAGAAUGGGGCUUAAAUGGGAGGUUCAUUUGAUUUAUUUUUGUCCUUGUAUGAAAAGUGGUUCUUUGUUAAGGCCGAAUGAGUCAUGUUAGAUUAGUUGAAAAGAAUGUUCAUGAUAUGAGGUAAUUUGAAUAAUUGACCGAAACAUGGAAGGAAGGGCAAGAUUUAUAAAUUAUGUUUGAGGGUGAAAAGAGUAAUGAAAGUUGUAUUAAGUUUAAUGUGCAUACUUUAGUCUAAGUGUUGAGGAGUAUUCGGCCAAGAUAGUUGAAAUGUGGGUGUUGCCGAUUUCAAAAAAAAUUGAUUAUGGGAGUGGCUAUAAUGGGCACUAAGAUGUUGAACUUAAGAAAUUAGAAGUAAAUGAACUUGAUAGUAUUUAAGAGAUAGAGGUGAUAGAUUAAUGUUGCACAUUCGGCUAUGGUUAGGCAUGUUGAUGAUCUUAUCUUGAUUUAGAUAAUUAGACAUAAAAGGGUGGUAAAGGGGAUGAAAUUGUCGAAUGAUUAGUUGGGUAACAAAAGAAGCAUUCGGCCAUCACUUGAGAGCUUGUGUGAUGUUGGGUUUAAAAUUAGCAAAGGUAACUUACCUAAUGCAUGUGCAUGUGUGAUUAGAUUUUUGAUGAUAUGGUAGUUGCAUGAGGUUAUUAGCCGAAUAUACUAACAUACAUAAGCAUGUGUAAUUGAAUUAUGAAUGUUUAACAAGAUGGUUAAACUAGUGAAUUAUUGAUUAAGCUCAAGGAGCUAAAGGAGGAGAAUCAAGCAAAGGCAAAGAAAAGAUCACUGAGUAGCCGAGUUGGAACCGUCUUACCCAACACAAGGUAAGUCAUUAAGCAUGUAGUUGGUAUUGUUUCAAAUGGUCAUAAUGUUUAUGUAUUGAUGCUGAAUGGAAUGAAUAAAUAUACAUAUAUAUAUAUAUGCAUGUACGUAUGUGAUGAUGAAAUUGUUAAAUGAAAAGAAAAGAGGUAAGAUGUACUGAGUUGUUGAUCUCAGCACUAAACGUGCGGGUAUAACCAUUUAUGACCAUGAGAUUGGCGCUAAGUGCGCGGGAUUAAAUUGUACAGCACUAAGUGUGCGAUUUGACUAUGUUGCACUAAGUGUGCGAAAUAAAUAUGAUGCACUAAGUGUGCGAAUUGACCAUGCGGCACUAAGUGUGCGAGUUUAACUAUGUAGCACUAAGUGUGCGACUUGAUUACGUAGCACUAAGUGUGCGAGUUGAUUAUAUAGCACUGAGUGUGCGGACUCAAUAUACAUUCGUGAAUCAUUAUGGACACUAUGUGUGCGACACUAUUGAGUCGAUCGCGGACAGCGGAUCGGGUAAGUGUCUUGAGUACAUGGCUAAUAGGUGCUAUGCUUAUACUUGGUGUUGAGCUCGGUAAGUUUGAACCUAUGUGACAACCAUACUUGAAGUCACGUACAUAAAAUUUAUCGUAGGAUGGGUGAAAGGCCGUUUAGUCGUUUGAUUGUAACGAAAAUAAAUUGAUUUAUAAAAAUGCUUCAAUGUCCUAUUGAUGAGUAUAUGGAAUGUGAAUGCAUGAAUUGAUAUGAAAUUGAAUCGAUAGGUUGGAGGAACUAUGGUAUGGUUCGGAAUGGAUGGAGUAAUUAGCCUCGUUCCAUUUUGUCUUCUCUUGUGAUAAUGUUAUUGAUGGAUGGUAGUGCAUAGCUUAUGACUUACUGAGUUAUAAACUCACUCGGUGUUUCCUUGUCACCCAUUAUAGGUUGCUUGGACUCAUCUAUUUUUGCGGGGUCAGACCGUCAUCGAAGUCAUCACACCGGAUAGCAAGUUUUGGUACUUUCUUCUUAGUUGGCUUAGAAGAACAUUUUGGCAUGUAUAAGCUAUUACGUUGUGUUCGAACUUUGGCAUGUAAACUUUAAGCCAUGCGAAAAUGGCACGAAUGUUCGAUUGAGUUGGAUCAAGGGUAGGCAUGAAAUGUACCUAGUUACUUUCGUAACAGAUGCUGGCAGCAGCAGUGUCAUGAGAUUGAAAAAUCACUAAAAAUAGUAGGAGUGGAAUUAAUUGAUGAAUAAAUUAUGUAAUCGAAGCUCAAUGAGUUUGUUUUCAUGAGGAAGUAACGAAAAGAUCAUAUGGGCAGUAUAUUAAGAGAUAAUCAGAUUUUUGUGGGACAGGGCCAGAACGGUUUCUGGAUUCCCUGCUCCGACUUUGGAAAUUCAUUAUAAAUUAACCAGAGAUAAUUAGGGGUCGUAUCAUAUAUGUAUAGAUUUCUCUCUGAGUCUAGUUUCUAUAGAAACAAACAGAAUCAGUAUUGGAGCCCUGUGCAGGGAGAUAUCCAAGUCGUAAUGGGCAAAGGUCAGUGUAGUCGACCCCUGCAACAUGGGAGACUUUGACUAAUAAACUGUACUAAUUGGCCCAACCAAAAAUUCUAGAAAAAAAUACAUAGAUGGGAUCAUGAGUCUAUUUUCUGGGAAAAAUCACGAAACUGAUUUUCGAGUUACGAAACUCAAGAUAUGAUUUUUAAAAUGACUAGUACACAGAUUGGGCAGUGUCUGGAAAAUAAAUUUUAUAAGGGGUUAAAGUCAGUUAACACCUCGUGUUCGACUCCGGUGUCGGUUUCGGGUUCGGGGUGUUACAGUGUGCCACUGAAAUAUAGGAUGUAUAAGAAGCACACAGUUCCCAAUUGAUACAGGGGCUGGCAACACGCCCACGUGACUACUUUAGUUAUGUCAUUUAGUUUUCACACAGUUUCAAUUUGUUACACGGCCUAGCCACAUAGCUAUGUGACUUUUGUUGAAUAUUUGCAUUUUGACUCACACGGCCAUAGUAAGUUACACGGCUUGAAUACAUGGUUGUGUGACUCUAAUUCUACACAAUUAGAGCUUGUUACAAGGCCGUGUGACCCCUAUUUGCACAAUUUCCCUUCUUUUUGUAAAAGUUUCAAAAUGAUCAUUAUUUGAUGUCGGGUCAAUUCAAGAGCUUUUGUAAGCUCAAUUUAAACCAUAUUUUGUUUGCAAAGCAUGACUUAUUUGAAUAUUUGUAUUUAUUUAAUGUAUAAUUGAUUUUUUUAUUUAUGAACCACGUGUAACUGUUUUGUUAAUUGUUGUAGCAUCUUGUCACUCGGGUCUGACGACCGAACCGGGUGAGAGGUGUUACAUACAUACUUGUGGAAUGAAAGUUUGGAGAUAACUUUGUUUUCCUUAUUGAGUGGCCCAUGCAACCAAAUGAUUUAUGUAAAUUUAGGCUUUCAUUAGAAAUUUAUGGAGGAGGCUGAAAAGCAGUUUAAUGACUUGAGAAUGGAGGGUUUCAUUGUACUACCUUAUGAUAUAACAAUUCAUAGAAUUUGAAGCCCUGUCUUGGUUGAGUAAUUCCAUUUGGCUUCCAUAAUAUUGACUUCUACUGAAGGUUCACCAAUGACGAUAUAAGGGCGCCCUAUACCCAUGCCUAGACACACAACAGUGAAUAUGUGGUGUUUGGGAUCUUGUUUAGCCUAGAGGAGAAGUCGUGGUUGUAUGUAGUACAUUUUGGCCUAUGUCUUGAUCGUAAGUGAGGGGCCCCUAAAGGCGUAACACAUGUAACAUUAUUAGACCCUUCUGAGGUUGAUGAAUGACAAUAUAAUAUAGGAAAUAAAGCCUAGAAGCUAUCUGGGGGUCUAGGGCUAAUGCACACACUACCGCGAAACAAAUUAAUGUUAGCACUAUUGCUGGUGCAAGAACCAGUUGAUAAUUUGUAGCAUGUUCUUACUCUUAGGCUUUAGGUGAGGAAAUAACUUCUGCAACUUCCGUUCAUGUGAUUGAAAUUUCCUUAGAUAAGUAGGAAGCUUUUUUGGAUAUCCCUACAUUAGGAAUGACUAUAUAUGUGCAUACCCUUUGGGAAUUCAUUAACUAGUAGGAGUAGGAAAAUCUGUGAUAGAGGGCUUAUAUAAGAGGGCUGAGAAUUUUAGUUGUAUCUUUCCACAAUUAUUUUAUUUUUAUAACUUUUGAAAUUGAGUUGUUGCUUUAAGUCUGAUUGUUUGUUUUGCUUGUGUAGCUACUUCGACAAUCAUAAUCGGAGGGAUGGAUUCUAAUUUUAUAGACUGCUAUUCCUGUCCCCAACAGGAAGAGAGCUAACAACCCUUCAAGUGAUCAAUCAAAAAGGGGUAGGACCAAAACUACAAUGGUUCGUUCUUGCGAGGUGGUGAUCAAUGAGCCAUCUCCUACUACAACUACUUCUAGCACGCUCGUUGUGACGAGCUGAGGUGUAUUUGGGAGCCUCUUUAGUGAUUAUGUGUUAGGAUUUAGUGCCCUUAGUGUAGUUAUUUCAUCAUAGAUAUAUUUGUAAUUUUUCGAAUAGAUUGGUUUAAAUAAAAUUCCAUCAUUCACAUUUUUAUUGUUUGUAUUUGUCCUCAAUGGUUUUUACAUGCAAAACAAAAUGUAUAAGCAAAUAUUGGCUCACUGAUUACCUUACAUUUGACUAAUAUUAAGGUGCAGUAUGUGGUCGGAUCAUAAUGCAAGAAGAUAACUUAUAUUAGUAGGUAAUCUAAAUGGUUUGUAGUCUGAUAAAUCGAAAUCGAGCAAAUCAAUUCAAGAAUACUAUGUUGUUUAUUAAGUCUAAUUGGGGGAUACCUUGUUUUAGGUAUUGGAGUGGAUAACUCUCAAAAGAUAGAGACAUAAAUGUAACUGACUAGACUGACAGUACAUCGGAUUGGACCCAAGUAGAAUAGAUCCUAGAUUUGUUUAUGGAUUUAUUCACUUGUGGCAUUCAUAGUGUGACUUACCUUAAUCCCGAGCAAGUGAUGCGUUGUGUGUGCACGACUUGUGUACUUUGAUGUAUUGAUAACUUGUGUUAAAUUAGUAAUAGAGUUGAAAGUUGGUUCGUUGGAUAUACGACUUUUGCAUGACAUGGCUUCAUGUACAAUAGUAGAAUUCAUAACCCAAUAAAGGGUAAAUGAUAUCCUUUCGUCGGCAUUACAUGAUAGGUGGGAAACGAGUCAUUUGUCUUAAGAUGAAUUAUUUAAUUACUAUUUAUUAGUAAUUUAUUUUUCAUGAAGUAAGAUGUAAUGAUUACCAUGAAAUAAAAUAGGAUCAUAUUGAGAGAACAAAUUUAUCCCAAAGAGAUUAAAGAUAUCCUAUGAGGGUACCACAUAUGACAAGGUCAUUGGACAAACAUUUAGUAAAGUAACUUUUGUAAUGGUAUAUAAUAGGGAAAGCUCAGUCAUGGGACUUUAGUGGAAUGACUUCAUGACUAAAUAAUGUUGUAAUUAAAAGACAAAGAUUUGAAACUUAUUUAAAAAUUAUUUGAAUCCUAAUUAUAUAUGUCUAACCGGUUCCUCUGUUAGCUUGAUAUAACUUUGAUGGUUUGCAUUAAUCGAUGAAAUGGAAACAUGUGAAACAAUGGACUAAAGAAAUAGAUCGCAUGUAUCACUAUCUGCAGUGAAUGCGUUUUCUCGCUAUAAACAAGAAGUGACUCAAAAAUUAAUUUAUAUAUUUGAAUUAUUAUUAAAUUAUUCUAAAAUUAAAUAAUUAAAGUUUGAAGAAGAAAUUAGAUUAAUUCAAUCAACGUAGUUUCUUAAGAACAAGAUUAAUUAAAUUAAUUUACUCAAAUUUUAAAUAGGUAAAGUGGUCAUGACUUUAAUUGAAUUAAAUUUGGGUUGAGAAAAUAAUUUAAUAAGUAUAAUUAAUUAUAUUAAAUGAAAAAGUAAUAUUUUUGACAUAAGAAAAUAUUUAUUGGUUUUGAAAUAUCUUCAAUAAUUAUCCCACAACUUCCUUCAUAUCCAAGUAAAAGAGUCAGCCUGGUCUCCAAAUAAAAAGAUAAGGACAAGCAUAAAGAUAAGGAUAAUGAUAGAAUAAAACAUAGCCUGAGAAUAAUUUGCUAAUAGUGUAACAAUCAUGAAAAUCAAAGUAAAAAAAAUGCCAACUUUAUAAUGUAGUUCAACUAUCUUAAAGACGUAUACAAACUGUUGUUCAAAGGUUUGUCCAAACAACUGUUCAAACAAGGACAGAACAUAGUGAUAAAACAUGUAAUUUGAGAAACUAGUCAAACAUGAGAAGAUACUUCAAAUACAAGACAACUAAGAUCCCAACAUUUUUCAUCUUUCUAUUCUUUCACCAUUCAAUUUUCUAUCUUUUUUUAUUUCCUUACAAAGGAAACACAUGCCCUUGGAUUCUAUUUUGCCGCUGGGCAUCCCAUGAUUAAGUUGAAUUUGGGUGCGUAGUUGGGUGGAUUGGUACUUGUGGCUGUUGGUAGGUCACAUGAGAGAGGAAUUCAAGUAAUAUUGUUGGUGCUUGACCUUGAGGAAGUGGACCAACAGGGCCCUUGUGUCAUAUAAUUGGAGCUUAAUUUAGGCAUGAUACAGGGUGGGAGGUUUAUGUGCCCUUACGUUAUGUAAUUAUCAGCCAUGGCAUAAAAAAUUAUGGUCUAAUUAAUUCUGCUAGUCAAAUACUUUCUGGAAAUAAAAUCUCUUUGCAAUUACAAAAGGUAUAAUUGUUUCAUAAUAGUUGUAAUUUCAUCCAAUUAUUUUGCUUUCAAAAUCCAAUCACGUUGAAUUCCAAUUGAAAAGUAAAAUCUUUCCAACACUUUUUGUUUGUUCACAAAAUUUGAAUUCAAGAUAUUAAUUUACUAGACUCAUUUUAAAGUAUUUUGUAUAAAGUCUUUGUACUCUUUUGAAAUUUAAAAUUGAUCAUAUAUUUUAUUUUUGAGAUAUUAAAUCCUAAUACUUUUUAUUUAAAAAUUAUGGUCUCUCCAUUUAACUCUAUCAUUACUAAUGUGAUAAUUAGAAAAUAAAUAUUAAACUCUCAAUAUUUAUAAUUUUUUUAUUAAUUUAAUCAUUGCUCUUUAAAAGUUAACAAUUUUUUAAUAUAAUAUAUAUAAUCUUCUUCCUUUCUCCAUAAAUAUUUGUUACACUACAACUCUUUUUACUAGGGGUACGUUUGGUUCACUGUAAUAGAAGAGAGCUGUAAUUGAAUAGAGCUAUAAUCAGUAUUUCAACUGUUUAGUCGAAUGGAAUGAUGUUGUAAUAGAAUAAAAAAAAAACUAAAAUGAUCAGAAUACCCUUAGCAAAAAAAUUUUUAGGUAGAUAAUUAUUGCUAUUGUUAUUAAAUUUUAAUAAGAUUAUUAUUAAAAAUAAUUUAAUAAAAAUAAUAAAUAAUUUAACCAUAUUUUAACAUAAUUAUUAUUAAGUAUAAUUUAAUAAAAUUCUUAAUAUAAUUAUUAUUAUAUGAAUUAAAAAAAUCAUAAUAUAUAAUACUAUAAAAACUAUAUAAUCUACUUUAUUAUUUUUAAACUGCACUACAUAUUUAAUGUGCUAAAAUAUCAUUAGUGAAACAAAUAAUUUAAUUAUUCUACAAUAAAAAAAUAAAAUAUUAGAAGUAAUAAAUAACUUGAGCAUUAUAUUUCACAUCCAAACAUAAUAUUCAUAUAUUAACAAAAAGUUACAUGAUUUCAUUAGUUUAUAUGUCAUAAUCCAUAUGUUAUAAAAUUUUACAACCUCAAAAAGUUACAACAUUGUAAUGACAUCCUAUCAUGUCAUUAUAUCAUCCAAAUAUUACAAACACAAAAAGUUACCAAAAUAUUAUCAACACAAAAAAAUUUUCUAACAUUUUUUUCAACUCAUUUAAAUAACUGACUUUAAAUCCCAUAUCAACAUUAAAGGUUCCAAUAUUGUGCAAGUCGACUAUACAGGCAACCAACGCAGCAUCUUCUUCUGGAAGUCAUUUCCUUUUGGAUCCUCGAGAAUUUUGGGAAGAAACACUUGCUUGUGAAAACCCUGACAUAACUAUCUUAAGAAAAAAAAACAUAAGCUCAAUAUUAUGAAUCAAAAAGUCAACACUUUAUAAAAUUAUAACACAUGAUGAAUCAAUAGAAAAUAAAUUAUAAUUCAACAAGUCUAGUACAAUACAAAAAACAAUUCAAACACCACCAAAGUUUCAUAAACUAGAUACAUGAAAUAACAUAAACAAAUUAAUGUUUACUACUUUUAUCCUAAACCUAACUAAUUUCUAGAUGUUUGCCAUUCAUCGAACAUUUGGUUGGCUAGUUCCAUCCUCCAAGUAGCCCAUGCAUCUGAUGGAUGAAUAUUUACGAUAUUCGGUUCAUCGUCAUCUAUCACAUUACUAGGUAAUCCUUCUCCCAACUCCGCUUCAAUAGGAUCAAGACUCAUAAAGGUUUGAAUAAAAUUAUGGAGCAAACAACAUGCAAUAAUGAUUCUAUUGUGCACCAUCACAGGAUAAAAUGAUGGACUCCUAAGUAUUCCCCAUCUAAGUUUUAAUAACCCAAAGCAUCUUUUAAUAACAUUACGCGUUGAAGCAUGUUUCAUAUUGAAAAAUUCUUCCGGAGUACUUGGCUGGUAACCCUGACGCCACUCAUUCAAAUGAUAUCUUUGUCUUCUAAAAGGUGCAAGAAAUCCCUUACAGUUUGUGUAUCCAGCAUCAACUAAAUAAUAACAACUUAUAAAAAAAAACUGUAACAGCCUAAUUUUCAGUGGUAUUGGGAGUAGAGAUUUGAGAUCACUAAAUUCGAUGGGUGAGUUGAAAAUUUAAUAAAUUAAUACCUAUGAGCCAAAUGUGAAUAUAAAAACAUUUUUGAAUUAGUGAAUUUGGUGAUUUAAAAGAAUUAAUUAGGUAAAUUAGGUCGAGAAUGAGGUAUCGAGACCUCAACUUCAUAAAUCGAGCCAUAAAUAUUUAAUAUUUAUGGAGUGUUGGUGAGGUAGUAAUAAAAUUUAGUCAGAAAAUUUUGACGUUUGGGUGGUUAAUUAAAUCAAAAGGACUAAAUUGAAAUGAGUGUAAAAGUUGCUAAAAGGAUUAAAUAGCUCAAUUGUCAAAUGAGGAAGGACCUAAAGUGCAAAUAAGCCUAAAGGGGAUAUUUUGGGCGGCAAUAGCUGAGAAAAAUCAGGAAAUGAGUGAAAUAAGGGCAAAAUUGGAAAAUUGCCAAAAUUGGCUAAAUAAAAAUGGGACUAAAUUGGAAUAUCUAGAAUUCUCUUCAUUUCUCUUCAUAUUCAUUAGCUGAAAAAUAGCCAAGGAGGAGGGUCUAAGUUGGUUUUCAUACUCCAGCUUCAUGUAAGUUUAAUUCUUGCUUUCUCCUUGAAAUUUUUAUGUUUUUGGAAUUUUACAAUUGGGUCCAACUUACUAUUUCAUUAGUUUUUGAUUCCAUGUCUAAUUUUUGAAGUUUUUAUGGAUGAAUUCUGGAAGUAUAUGAUGAUUUGUCAUGGAAUUAGAGUUUUAAAUUGUUUAUAGUCUGAUUUUAUUGAAAGAAUUGAAUAGAAAGUGAAUGUUUGGGACCUAAUUGUAAAAGAGUUUGAAGUUAGAGUUUCAUGUGGAAAUUCUGAAUUUAAAUAGUUAUGAAAUAACUUAUAAUGUCUAUAAAAAGUAUUAAUUGAGAAAAUUAUCUUAAUUGAGGGGUUAAUUGAGCAAGGACUGAAUUGUAUGAAUUGUGAAAUUGGGGUAAAAUAGAAAUCAACAUUUUGCACUAAAACUGUUUUGGGCAGCAGCAGUAGUUUAACUUUGAAAAAUCACCAAAAAUUUUAGAAAUCGAACUAGAGGAUGAAUAAAAUAUGAAAUUAAAGCUUAUUGAGUCUAGUUUUUUAUAAAAGAAAUUAUGUAAGCAAUGGAAUUGUAAAUCAUGAGAUCCAAUAACUUUUGUGAGACAAGGUCAGAAUGAUAUCGGGUUCCCCUGUUCUGAAUUUGGAAAAUCAUAAAAAAUUGGAUAAAAAUAAUUAUAGGCUUAAAUAUAUAUGUUUAGAAUCCUGAGUGAGUGUAUUUUUAAUAGAAACAAACGAGGACAUCAUUCGAAUCCUGUACGAGAAGAUAAUUAAUUUUUAGUGAAUAAUGGUCAAAACUGUCAGACAGCAGAACAGGGGAGACUUCAAUGAAUAAACUGUAUUAAUUGGCCCAACCAAAAAUUAUAAAAUUUUUAUGGUAAGAAUACAUAUGAGUCUAGUUUCUGGAAAAAUUUAUGGAUCUUAAUUUGGAGUUCUGUAGCUGAAGAUAAAAAUAAUUUAGUGACUAUGACACAGAUGAAUAGAUUGAAUAUUCACAUAAGUAGAUAGUGAAAAUUAUGGAUAAUGUUACCUACAAGUGUGUUGUUUAUACUAAGGAUGUGGAUGGAGAGGAGGAGGAAAAUAUACAAAAAUAUAUGAAUGACUCUUGUAUAAAUUGAUCACAUGUCCGAUUAUAAUCGAUAAGUGUUGGAUUAGAAAUGAUAUAAUGUUUUAUUUGGAAUAUUUAUUAUGAAAUUAUGAUUAUCGUUAUAAUACAAAAAUUGAACUUGUGAAUUUAUAUGGUUAAAUUUUAGUGAUUAUUUGUUAAUUUUAUGAAUUUCAUGAUGUAUUAUUUCAUAUGUAUUGAUGAUAAAAUCGUGAAUAAUGUAAAAGCAUGAAAAUUGAAUAAAUAAUCAAAUUGAACAUUUCAGUUCAGUGACAAGAUGAAUUGAAGGAAAAGACCAUGGUUAGACCAUGGCAACAAGUGAUAAGUGAUAGCUUCGGCUACACUUAUCUGAUCAAGGACAAAUGAAAGUGAUAAGUAGUAGCUUCGGCUACACUUAUCUGAUCAAGGACAAGUGAAAGUGAUAAGUGAUAGUUUCGGCUACACCUAUCUGAUCAGGGACAAAUGACAAGUGACAAGUAGUAGCUUCUGCUACCUGAUCAGUGAAAAGUGGUGGCUUCUGCUACCUGAUCAGUGAAAAGUGGUAGCUUCUGCUACCUGAUCAGUGAAAAGUGGUAGCUUCGGCUACCUGAUCAGUGAAAAAUGGUAGCUCCGGCUACCUGAUCAGUGAAUAGUGGUAGCUUCGGCUACAAGUGACAAGUAAUUUCCGUAUAAGACCAUAUCUGGGAUAUGGCAUCGGUGUGAUAUAUGCUAUUGUAUAAGACCAUAUCUGGGAUAUGGCAUCAGUGAGAUAUGUGAUUUGCGUAAGACCAUAACUGGGCCAUGGCAUCGAUAUAUGAAUAUGUGUAAGACCAUAGCUGGACUAUGGCAUCAUUAUGUAAAGAUGUGUAAGACCAUAGUUGAACUAUGGCAUCGACAAAACGAAGUACUCAAUUCCGUAAAACGUUUAUUAAUUUGACAAAGUUUGGUAAGUGUUACAUGGAAUUAUGUGAUACAAGGAAGUACGAGUUGAUAAGAUACGAGUAUAGAACUUGGUUGAUAAAUGAAUUCAUUUGUGAUUAUAUAAUUGUUCAUCUUGAAUGUACUAUCCAUAUGUAUUGAUAAUUCAAAUCUUUUAAUGAAUAAAGUUCAGACAUGGAAUAAAUUGAACACGAGACAAAUAAUCAUGAAAUUAAACUCGAAAUUCAUGAAAAUGACGGUUAUUGAUAUAUGGAGACAUGAGACAUUGAUAUAUGAAUAUGGAAAAUGUUUGAUAAAUGUGUUUAUUCAUAAUUAUGGAAUUAUAUACCUCAUGUGUACUAUUUGCAUAAAGAUGAUAUUUUAAAUACUUUGGUUAUUUAAGCUUAAAUAUGAAAUAAUAUGAAAUCAAGAUAAGUUGUUAUGAAAAUAUAUUUAGAUUACAGAGAUAUUUUGAUAUGGCUGAUAUAUGUUGUAUGGUUACAUAACGUGAAAUUGUGUAUAUAUAUGAGAAAUUUAAUGAGAAUUGAGCCCAUACACGUUUCUUGUUAUUUAUAUGAAGUGUACGAUUGACAAGGGCGAUGAAGUUAUAAACAAAGAGUUACACGGGUUGAAAACACGAGCGUGUGACUCUCCAAAGUGUGAAAAUUUUCUAAGUGUUGCAAAAGUUUCAUAUGUUUACGGUUUGGUCCCGAACCACCCUAAAUGUAUGUUUUGGGCCCCGUAGGCCCAUAUAAGGGACGUUAAACAUAUGUAUGAAAGUUUUUAAUUUAGAAGAAAUUUUAUGGCUGAUUUUUACAUGAUUGAUCAUAUUAAGUUCGGUAAUGCCUCGUACCUUAUUCUAGGCUCAGAAUACGGGUAGGGGGUGUUACAAAAACUAUUUGUCAUGGUUAAUUUCCCAAAAAAUUAUGAUAUUAAAGAUUUAUUCAAAGUCCUCUAAUUUUGCACUUUAUGAUAUUAAAGAUUUUUUCAAAGUCCUCUAAUUUUGCACUUUACUAUGAGGAACUUUUAGUCCAUGUCUCCUACUAAUGGCAUUUCGAAGAACCCGACCAUCAUUAACAGAACCUUCCCAACCAGGAAGAACAUAAACAAAAUGCAUAUCAGGUGUACAAAUACCUAACAUAUUUGUUGCUAUGUCACCUUUUCGCGUUCGAUAGCUAGGUUUAUCAACUGUUGAAACCCAAAUCUUGAUGUGGGUUCCAUCUAAAGCACCUAAGAAAUUCUACAUCACAUGUAUAAAACCUUGAGUUAGGAUACUAUAUUUAAAUCUAAAUCAACUAAAUUAUGUACGAGCUAUAUAUAGAACUCACUCUAAUACCUUGAACCAUUUCCACCUUGGGUCUGUAUAAUUAGCUGUAAUUGGCUCUGUCUUUUUAAAUAGCACAUCUUGUAAGCGUAUGACAGCAUUUAAAACAUUGUGAAAUUAUCUGCUAACAGUUUCCCCAAACCUAUUAAAGCGAUGCUUGAUAAUUUGAUUUUUAAGAUAAUAUGAAAUGAUAUUUAAAAACAUUGCCACUUGCUCAUCAAUAAGCAUGUUCCUUGACGACUUCAAUCCCCUUAAAGUUUGUAACAUCUCACAUAGUUUAAAAAAGGUAAUUCUAUUCAUCCUAACUUGUUCGAUACAGGUCUCGUCACUAGCAUAUACAAGUCUUUUCACAUAAUCUCGUUUUGCAUAAAAAUCUAAAAUAUAGGAUCUAAUCCUUGGUCUAUAAGUAUGUAGGCUAUAGAUGGCACCCAAUGUAAGUAAGAACCAAUUCGCAACUAUACACAUUUGCAACCAUAUUGUCAAUGCAAGACCAAUUCUUUUACGCCUCACACUUUUUACUAUUAACGGCAAACAAGCCAUUACUGCAAGAUAUUAAAGUGUUACAUAUCUUCAAAUCAUAGUAAAAGGGUUACAGUUCUUCAAUACUAAUUUCAAUAACAGUAAAACAAAAUCAAAGAAUUUAAUUUUUAAAGAACUUACAGUGGUUCAGUGAAUACAAGAAGCUCAACUGUAGGUGGAAGAAGCAAUCAAGCAAGUCAAAGAAGAAGAGGAAGCAAUAACACACUAUCAAAGAAAAAUGAACAAUACAUAUUUAUCAAAUUUCAUUCAACAAAAUCAACUCUUUGUUUAGCAAAUAAUAAUGUCUUGAACAUUAAAAGAGAAAUUAAUAAUGAACAUCUAAUCUUGAAAUACAUCCACAUCCAAAUUACAUAAUUUCUAGUGUUGUCGAAAUAUACAUAUAUUAUAUGAAACUUUUUAAUUUACCUUUUAAAAAUUCGAUCUUUAAUUUACCUUUAAUUCGAUCUUUAAAAGUUGAUUGUUGACCAAUUUCUAUAUCUACCGAGAUUAUAUUAUUUUUGUCUAAAUUUUAUAAUAACAUUAUAUUUAUAAAAAUAUAAUUAUUGUUUUUUUAUUGUAUAUAAAAAUAAAACUAUUAUAAGUAAUAGAAAAAGAGUUAUUAAGUUAUUAUUAUAAAAGUUAAAUACAUCCAUUUUCUUUUUCCUUCCCCCCCCCCCAAAAAAAAAGUGAUGGUGUCAUUGCUUUUUUGUCAAGUUUACGAGGAAUUUUCCACAUUAUAUGAAUCACUACUAUUUAUGAUGUUUUUUUAUAGAGUGAAUAAGAUUUUUCUUUAUUGAAAUCUUGUUGUCAUUCACGUGCUUUCCCACAUUACAUUACAUUAUAAAGUGAGUAAGAUUGGGGGGAAAAUUCAACACUCCCGAGAUAUAUCUCUUGGAUUGGGGAAAAAUUGGAAAUUCAUCUCCAUAACAAAUUAGCCUCUUAGCCUUACCAAUAGCCUGUUAAAUUUAGUUGUGAUUGGAUGAGUAGAUAUCCAACUGCAGUAGGACUGGACUAAUAUCAUCACCUGAUCAUGAUAGCAAAAAGGAAUCAAGUCUAUUAAAAAUUUGAAAAUAAUUAUUUAACAAAGUGGCAAACAUUUAAAAUAAAUAAAUGAAUUUAAAUAACUAAGAUGCAUCAUCAAACUGCAGGUCAAAACCUACAGCUAAAAAUGCCAAAAAAAAUAUAGCACAUAAACAACAUUUUGCAAGAGAACAGAAAAGAUACAUGAAAAAUGCACUUAAAUGGGGGCAUGCAUUGAAAACUUACCUAAACAAUGCCCAGAACAUCAAUAAGCCUAUACCUUGCAGAGGAAACGAUAAAUGCAAAGAAAGAUUAUAGCACUACAAUAGAAUUUUCUCCACUAAUGAAGAUGGCUAUUUCAAGCAAACAAAUGGCUUUGAGUUUUAAUUGAUUUGUGCAUUCAUGAAGCUAAGAAGAAGAGCACAUAUGAAUUUCUCGAUGGACAUUUCCUCUGCAAAGAGAUCACAAUGAGUUACAUAUCAAGAAACUACCAUUAUAGAGAAACGCCAGUACAGAGAUCAUAAGCAACCUCUAACACCCAACAAUACUCAAAAUGAAAUAUUUUAUAUCAAAUGUAUGCCUCACUAGCUUUGCUGGUGAAGAAUUGAAUAAAUAUAUAAUCUUAGGGAAAAAAAGUAGUCUGAAAAAGAGACUCUCGCCAGAUUACUUUUGCAGUAAAACCUGUUUUAGCAUUUACUAAAUCCAACCGGAGAUUUUUAGAAUAUUUUUACCGAUUUAAUACGCAUAGAAAUGAGCUGCUUAAGACUGCAAAAUUUAGGUUAGAGAAAGUGAAUAAACUGACAGCUAACUUUGUCAAUACUGUAUGAACAUAAAUCUCAUAAGAUGAUAACUGUUUAGACUUAAUAAAAAUUGGAAGACUUUGAACUUUUGUUUUUAUUAAAACAUGGUAUUCUACUUGUGCUGGAAAGGUUACACUCUGGCAUUCCCCUUCCUUUGUCUUUUUUUUUUAUACCUCAUAAUAAUAAUCUACUUAGAAUUCAGAUUGACUUUGCAUCACUGGUUUUAGGCAUCAUUUACCCUAUAUCAAAUCAACAAAUUAAGCUAUUACUACCAUUUUCAAGGAACUAGCUUAACUAAUCUCAAAGGUUCUAACAAACCCAAUUUACAAAAGCUGCAAAUAACAAGUAUAGCUUAAAUUAAGUUGUCCUACUAUUUUCCAAUUUGAUAACUGAAAAAACAUGAUUUCUGCUAAGAGUAAGCAACAGACAGUAUAGAAAAUAAAGAAAAGAGCUGGUUGUAAAGUAUUCAUUUAUGUUGAAAGAUCAAAAAUAGAUAAUCCAGAAAUGAACAAGAAUGAAGGGACGUGCCUGGGCUUAGAAAUGCCAGUUUUGUUUCUGUUUUAGUGAGAACGUCGAGAUACUCUUCUUCUUCAAGGCUCUACCAUUGUUUCUUUCGAUGAAUCAAACUUAGAUGAAAUCUAUAAUAAGAAAUUGUUUCAUAAAACAGAAAUAAAAAGGCAAAAGACAAAGUUCAGGUUAAGAUUCAUACUUGAAAAACAGUCUACAAUGAAACAAGAGAUUUUGAAAAUCACAAAAAAAAGGAACGACUGAGAAAACUUCUCUCUUUCGAUAAUGGGUUGGACAGCUAUGUUAUUUACCAAUACAGUUCCGAGUUUCUGACGUGAUUUCAAGUUUGAUACUUUGUUUAUUAAAAAAAUCAAAGAUGAUGGUGAAGGAGGCAGUAACAAAAAUAAGCAAAAAAAAAUUGUGGGUAAUAAAAAAAGGCAGACAGGAAAAUUAAAGGAACAGCAGAAGGAAAAAUGUUUACCUGACCUUGGAUGAAGGGGAAGAAUGCCGGAGUCGAAGGAAGCAAGAAAUGGCUGCCGAUUGAGUGUUUUUGAGGUGAGAUUUUGAUAAGGGUAAAAUAUGGUUUUACAAGCAAGGAAUAGGUAAACGGUGAAGAGGGUAGGGAAUAGAAAUCCUUAAAAAUCUCUGCUUAAGCCCAGAAUGGAAUACAGCUUUAAUAGGGUAUUCCAUUGAACCAAAAGUCGAUUUAUGUGGGCCUCCAAAAUGGGGUUGUAAUAGGCAUGUAAUGGCAUAGCCAUUACCUUCAACCAAAUAUGUCGUGGCAUUUUCCUGCAUAUCUUCCUCUCAUAUUGCUUUACUUUUCAUAAAAAAUAAUAUUUUAUAUAAUUUUCAUCCUACAACUAAAACCUUAAAUUGUAAGUAUUAAGGGUUAAAAAAGUUAUUCUAUCUAUUUUAUAAUUGCCAUAUCUAUUUUAAUUGUAAGUAUUAAGGGUUAAAAAAUUUAUUCUAUCUAUUUUAUAAUUGCCAUAUCAACAAAAUUAAUGAAAAAUGGACAAAGGGAUCAAAAUUUUUAAAUAAAAAGUUGUUGAGUGUUUUUCCGUUCUAUCUUAUUGAAGGGGACAAUCAAAUAUUUAUACACAUGAUUACUGCUCAUGGAAUUGACAUUCUUGGUAAGCUCUAUACAUGUUGGACACAUGUAUUGCUUUGGUUUGCUUGCUAGACUUCGUAGCCCCACAUGCGAACUAGGACUAUGAACUACCCUUGCAAGCCCCUUUACCGAACCCCCACUACAAGACCUGCAUGCAUCCAACUGGUUGGGCCUAACUGAGUUGCGGGUAGGCAAUCUAGACUUUAUCUGGGUUUCGGGUUGGUGAUCACAAAUACGCAACAAUCUAGUUCCCUUAUUGGGUUUAAAGAAGGUUGUAAAGUGGCACUCAUUGGAGCCAUCACUUCACAUUAAUAAAGCUUGUUGAAUAUGCGACCACUGAAGCAUGACGUUAGUCUCGCCACGUGUACGAAGGGUUAUAAAGUGGCGUUCCUUAAAGCUAUCACUUCACAUUUAUACUGUUUAUUGAAUACACUACGACCACUGAAGCAUGACGUUAGUCUCGCCAUAUAUACAGGUGGACCAUGUCUAUUUACAUCUGGCCGUUGGUGCUCCUCGGUUAUUUUAACCUUCAAAACAUGUGAGAGAGAAACUCUUUAAAAAUAGGGUUUCAAAAUCCCUAAAACUUAAAAACUUAAUACUUUCUGCAACCAGAGUCGAUUGAGGCUUUUCUUCAAGGAAAAUCUUGUUAACUUCUUCAUUUUAGAUUUUAUCUUUCUUCUUAUUCUUUUUUCUUUUUUAUUGAAACUAUGUCAAGCAUGAGAGGAGCUGGUGGUCGGAUAAUUCCCAGCUAUCCACCACAAAAGCGUGCAACAAAAGUCCCUAUAGAAGCUAGCUUUUGCGUCUACAUUACAAAAGAAGAAGAGAUGCCUCAGGCUUUAGCCAUUUGAGGGAUUAAAAUCCCCAACUUUGCUUACGAAUUCCCUAUUCUUGAGAGGCCACAUAGGUUGAGCGACACUAAUAAUGGUAGCUUCCUACUCUUCUCCAUGUUCUAAAAGCUGGAUUCCAUUUGCCCUUGAACCUGUUCUUCUGUCAUCUUCUUUAAUAGUACAGGAUCGCUCUUGGUCAACUUUCUAUGUUUUCUUGGUAUAUCGUGGUGGCUUACUUUAUCGACUGCUGCUGACGCAAUGAAGUGUCACAGCUCACAGUUUUCCAACGUUUAUAUUUGUUGAAAGCCUAGAACUAAGGGAAUUCGCUGGGCUUCUACUAUUUCUCUCCUUGCGACUAUAAUCACCAACUGAUGUUUUAAUCAUCGACUAAAUCAGGGAAAAUACAUUAGGGUGAAAUGUAGGCUCACCGAUUGGUUUGGUUUGCCAACAAAGUGGUUCGCACCAAACAGGGACAUGUGUCUAUUUAAAUGACUCAUUACAAUAAAUAAUGGUUCAGCCUAACUUGAAAGGCUUCGCAUUGGUAAUUUCCUGGUUUUAGAGGAUGUUAUAAACAUGAGGAAUGUGUUUCGGUAUUGUUUAGAGGGCUUUAGCCCUAAUGGAUGGAGGUGGGGUGAUAGUAGAAAAGUGGCCAAAGCUACUGGUGCGUGACUUAAAAGAUAGAUAUGGCCUCAUGAGGCUAGAAAUGACCUGAGUCUGAUAUUAAUAGUAUAUAAAGAGGAGCCUAUGAAAUUCUUUUACAAUUUCUGCAGGAUGAAACUUCCCCUUGGAUUUUAGCAGUCUCAUUGCAUAAAGAAAGUUAUGCAAAUAUUAAUUUGACAAUGGCUUUCACUAACCUUAGAAUUAUUGUUAGUGCAAGCACAGCUCGUAUCUAUAAUUUCUUUGAGGGACAUUCACAAGAAGCAUAAAACUAAUGCGGGGCUUAUAAAUGUGGUUAUCAGCAGCAAAGAGGAGGCAGAUAGUGGAAGACUAGAGUAUCACCGUAAAAGGAGAACAGAUCAUGCUAGGCCUUCUGCUAUGAUAACCGCUACUCUUGUUUCUCCCUUAGUGAGCUCGCCAUCAAUAGCACAUGCAAGUUCUGUAAUGGCCUAAAUUCAAGGUUAUCGGAAUAGUGGUUUCGUAACCACAAAUCCGAUUUAGAGAGAAAUUUAUUUCAAUAUUUUUGCAUGAAAAUUGAUAUGAUAGGAAAAUCGUAUGAAAAUAUUGAUAGAAAAAUUUUACCUAUUUAGUGGUUAGUUAGAAAAAGAAAUUAUUAAAAAAAAUUGGAUAAAAUAAGGUAUCAGGACCUAUAUCUCGUAAAACCGAGUCAAAAAUAAUUUUAUAAAUAUUUAUGAAAUGUUAGUAAUGUGGUAUUAAAAUUUCGUUAGGAAAUUUUAAUGUUUGGAUAGUUAAUUAAAUGAAAAGGACUAAAUUGUAAAAGGUGUAAAAGUGGAUGGGAUGAUUAAAUAGCUUAAGUGUCUAAUGAGAGAGGCUUUAAAAGGAAAUUAGACCCAAAAUUUAUUUGGGCUGGACGGCAAGGGCAUGAAAUCGGCAACAAAAUUGAUAAAUUAAGGGCAAAAUUGGAAUAUUGCAAAAUUAACUAAAUAAAACUAGGACUAAAUAGGAAAUAUCUAGAUUUCUCUUCAUUUCUCUUCAAUUCCAGCAGAUAAAAAUGCCAUAGAAGGGUUCUAUAAGCUUUUAUUCCAUAAGUUUUGCACCAAUUGAGUUAAUCCUUGCAUUUUUCUUGUAAUUUUUGUGUUUCUAAGACUUUUACAACUAGGUCCUACUAUUAAAUUCAUUAGUUUUUGAUUUCAUGGAUGAAAUUGAAAGUAACCAUGGUUGAGUGCUGUACGUUUAUGAUGAAAUAGAAUGAAAUUAAAGCUUUAAUUUGUUUAUGAGAUGAUUUUAUUAGGUAAGUUCAAUAGAAAUUGCUUUUUAGGACCUAAUUCUGAAAAUGUUUGGAAUUAAAGUCUAUUGCUGAAUUUUUUAUUCUUAAAGGUUGUAAACUAGUUUAAGGUGAUAGAAUAAAGUAUUAAUUGAGAAAAAUUAGCUCAAUUGAGAGGCUAAUUGAGUAGGGAUGAAAUUGUUAUUUAUUAAAAGCUUAAGGGAAAAAUGGUAAUAAACAGCUUGCACUAAAACAAUAUUGGAGAGCCACAGUAGACUAACUUUGAAAAUUUACCAUAAAUUUUAGAAAUAAAAUUAGAAGAUAAAAAAAUAUGAAAUUAAAGCUUAUUGAGUCUAGAUUCUCAUAGAAGAAACAGUGUAAGCAAUGGAUCUGUAAAUCAUGAGAUAUAAUGAAUUUUGUGAGACAAGUUCAGAAUGAAUUCGAGUUCCCCUGUUCUGACUUUGAAAAAUUAUAAAAAAUGAAUAAAAAUAAUUAUGGGCUUAAAUUUAUAUUCCUAGAAUUUUUAAUGAGUCUAUUUUCAAGAGAAAUAAAUGGUAACAUCAUCCGAAUUCUGUAUUAAGAGAUAAUUAAUUUUUAGUGAAGAAGGGUUAGAACUAUCAGACAACAGAAUAUGGGUUAUUUUAAAGAAUAAACUGUACUUAUUGGCUACACCAAAAAUUCUAAAAAUUUUAUGGUAAGAAGAUAUAUAAGUCUAGUUUCAGGAAAAAUUAACGGAUCUUAAUUUGGAGUUACGUAUCUCGAGUUAUAAAUAAUUUAGUGACUAUGACUCAAAUAGACAGCUUUGAAUAAACUAUAAAUAAUAAUAAUGAAAUUAUAGAAAUUGUUGCAUAUGAACAUGAAAUGUAUUAAAUUGAUAAUUAAAUUUAUUUGUUUAUAUUCAGAAGAUUCAAAUACAAAGCUAGAUCGAGGAAAGGAAAAAGUUCAGGAUUAGUAGAUUUUUGUACACGACCAAGUAUCAAGGUAAGUUCGUGUAACUUGAAUUAUAUUCUUAAAUGCUUGAAAUGUAUGUUAUUGAUUUGAAUAUCAUUUGAAUGUUCAUUGUAUGAAAAUUAAUGAAACACUAAUAUAUUUGAUAAAAUGGGAAGAAAUCCCAGUUGAAUGAAAGGAAAAUUCGAUGGAGCUUUGGAAAGAAAUUGACGGUAAAAAAAAUCUAGCCCGGUCAGGUGAUCCUAUCCUGAUAUAGCCCCCCCGAAGAAUAUGUGUAAAAUGGAUUUAACCCGGAUGGGUAAUCCGAAUUAGGGUCUGAAUUUAGCCUGGACUGGUAAUUCAGAUCCAAGCUCAUUAGAGUAAUUGUCAUUGCAGGGGAUUUAGCCUGGACUGGUAAUCCCGCUGUAAGGAUGAGGUUCGCGGGAGUGUUCUCUCUGAAAUGGAAAUGUGCGCACAUGAAUAUGAAUUGACGGACCCGGGAAUGUACACUAAAAGUGUACCUCUGAAAACCCAUCGAAAUUUUGAGAAAUUUAACGGGAUAAAUAUGAAAAAAUAACAAGGAAAUGGAAAUCAUGGUAUUGAUGAGCUCAUCAAUCAUAGUAUAUAUUAUUGGUACAUGAAAUUAUUGUACUAACUUGAAUGUUGAGUUUGUGCAUGUUAGGGUAAUAAUGCAUUGAAUGGAUAUAUGAAUGUUUAUUGUAUUGUAUUGAAAAUAUUAGGUAAGUAUAAUUCUUCUUACAUGAGCUUACUAAGCAUAAAGUGCUUACCCUGUUUCCUUUUCCCCUGUUUUAUAGUGUUAAGAGCUCGGAGGUCGGAUUUGGUCGGAGACACAUCACACUAUCAACCUUAGGAUUUCGGUAUAUAAAAAAAACUUUAUUUUGGAAAUCAAUGGCAUGUAUAAGCUAAUAAAGUAAAUGAUUCUGUGAAAUGAAUGUAAGGUCAACCAAUGGUAUGGCUAACAAAUCUUGGUUUUGGUACGCGAUGAUGUUAUCUUAUAAAUAUGCGUAAAUACAUAUGCGUUAACCUAUCUUGAAAAUAUGUUGAAUUGGAUUGGUUGAUGUGGAUUAUUUUUGGUCUCGAUUUAAUAUUGCAGGCAAGGUUAGAUAUUUAUGAAGGGGCUAUAUUGAAUAUAUAAAAAAAAAGAUCGUAAACUCCGGUAAUACCUCGUACCUUAUUCUGGCAAUGAAUACGGGUAGGGGGUAUUACAUUUGUUGGUAUCAGAGCUAUGGUUUAGCCAGUUCUCGGAUUGACAUAGUAAAUACGGGAUUAGCUAUACAUGUCAUUUAAAUUAUUAUUGAUAGUGUGAUAUCUCCUGACCAUUUAAAUGUGUUUUUCUUAUAGUAAAUGUCUACCGACCAAGCUCAAUCUGAGGAAGUUGGGAGUCAUGCUCCGGCUUCAGUACAAAGAGAAAAAACUAGCAGUAGAAGGCCCGAGACAGAGGGUCGAGGGGAGGAGGCAAAGACAGCCUUCUUUCAAAUGAUGAAUGAAUGGUUUAGUCAAUACUUAAAAACUAACCCUGUAGUACAGCAAGUUCAAGCUCCCCCUCCUGCUCCUCCACCGGUUCCCGAGAUCCCACAGGGUACAGGUACUGAAUCUGUCAAAAAAGGGAAAGCUUCAGUAGAUAAAAUUCGAAAAUAUGGGGCCGAAGAAUUUCGAGCAACAGUUGAUGAUGAUUCCGAACGGGCUGAAUUCUGGUUAGAAAACACUACUCGGGUUUUGGAGGAAUUAUCUUGUACACCAGAAGAAUGUCUGAAAUGUGUCGUCUCACUGCUAAAAGACACAGCUUACCAUUGGUGGAAUACUAAAGCUUCAGUUGUUCCGAAAGAAGAAAUUACAUGAAAAUUCUUUCAGACCGAGUUCAGAAAGAAAUAUAUCAGCCAGAGGUUUUUCGAUCAGAAGAGAAAAAAAUUUCUUGAGCUGAAACAGGGUAACAGAUCAGUAUUUGAGUAUGAAAAAGAAUUUGUUUGAUUGAGUAAAUAUGCUCGAGAAUGGGUACAGUUAGAAGCUGAAAUGUGCAAACGAUUCGAAUAAGGGUUGAAUGAAGACAUUAAGCUACUGAUCAGAAUUCUUGAAAUUCGAGAGUUUGCUACAUUAGCAGAGAGAGCUUAUAAAGCAGAAGAAUUGAGCAAAGAAAAAAAACAGGCGCAGAGAGAAGCUCGAAUUUUUAGUAAAAGACCGAUGGGAAAAUCUCAGUUUUCUGCUCCAAAGAAAUUGAAGAAGUACCAGGAUCGUUCUACCUCAGCCACUGGGUAUUCGGGUAGAGAGCGAGGUUCUCAAUGCACUAAUCCAAGACCUUCCACUCCAUCAGUGGCCAGUGUUGGCAGUGUUGGCACUUCUAAGCCGAGAUGUCAGUACUGUAAUAAAGCUCAUUUUGGUGAAUGUCGAUUAAAGAGUGAGGCUUGUUACCGAUGUGGUUCUUUUGACCAUUUCCUCAGAAAUUAUCCAGAAAGAGGUGAAAAAGAAGCUGAGCAGAUAUCGAAGCUAAGUAAUCCAGUUUCAAGGGGCAGACCACCUCGACCAUCUAGUAAUGUCAGUGGUAGCCGAGGAGCUAUGAAAGAUAUUACAGGCAGGUCUAAGGCACGAGCACCUGCUAGGACAUACGCCAUUCGUGCCAGAGAAGAUGCCUCAGCACCCAAUGUUAUUACUGGUACAUUUUCUUUACUUGGAACUGAUAUUACUGCAUUAAUUGAUCCUAGUUCUACGCAUUCAUAUAUAUGUGUUAAACUUGCAAUUGUUAAAAAUUCAUCUUUUGAACCUUCUAAAUUUGUGGUUAAAGUCUCGAACCCCCUAGGUUAAUUUGUUUUGGUGGGUAAAAUUUGUAAAAAUUGUCCACUGAUGGUAAGAGGUUAUUGUUUCUCGGCUGAUUUGAUGUUACUGUAAUUUGAUAAAUUUGACGUGAUAUUGGGCAUGGAUUGGUUAACCCAGCAUGAUGCAGUAGUAAAUUGUAGACAAAUAUAUAUUGUGCUAAAAUGUCAGAAUGGUGAGUUGCUCCGGGUUAAAUCUGAUCAGACAGAGGGGUUAUCUGGUGUGAUUUCAAUAAUGGCAGCACAGAGGUAUGUCAAAAAAGGGUAUGAUACUUACUUGGCUUAUGUACUCGACACCAAGGUAUCUGACUCAAGGAUACAUGCAGUGCCAAUAGUAUGUGAAUUUUCUGAUGUGUUUCCAGAUGAAUUACUAGGGUUGCCACUAGAAAGAGAAGUGAAAUUUUCUAUAGAUUUGAUUCCGGGAACUACUCCGAUUUCCAUAGCUCCGUACCGGAUGGCUUCUACUGAAUUAAAGGAGUUAAAGACACAGUUGCAAGAGCUUGUUGAUAGGGUUUUGUCCGACCGAGUCAUUCACCUUGAGGUGCUCCGGUUCUGUUUGUGAAAAAGAAAGACGGGUCUUUAAGACUUUGUAUCGACUACCGGCAGCUUAAUAAAGUAACCAUAAAGAAUAAAUAACCGUUACCCCGUAUUGAUGAUUUAUUUGAUCAACUGAAAGGUGCUACUGUGUUUUCAAAGAUUGAUCUUCGAUCAGGUUAUUAUCAGUUACGGGUAAAGGAGUCAGAUGUGCCAAAAACAGCCUUCAGAACCAGGUACGGACAUUAUGAGUUUCUGGUUAUGCCAUUUGGGCUAACUAAUGCAUCUGCAGUAUUCAUGGAUUUGAUGAACCGGAUAUUCAGACCGUACUUAGACAGAUUUGUAGUAGUAUUCAUUGAUGAUAUUUUGGUUUAUUCUCGGGAUGAAGAAGAACAUGCAGAACAUUUGAGAAUUGUGUUGCAAAUUCUGCGAGAGAAGUAGUUAUAUGCUGAACAUCAGGUACCUUCGGGGUUACUUCAGCCAAUUACUAUACCGGAAUGGAAAUGGGAAGGAAUCACUAUGGAUUUUGUAUCGGGGUUACCUUUGUCUCCGACAAAAAAAGAUGUUAUUUGGGUGAUUGUUGACCGAUUAACAAAGUCGGCGCACUUUAUUCCGGUACGUAUGGAUUAUUCUUUAGAUAAAUUAGCUGAACUAUACAUAUCUGAGAUUGUCAAGCUACAUGGAGUGCCUGUCUCUAUUAUAUCAGAUAGAGAUCCCCGAUUUACGUCUCGUUUCUGGGAUAAAUUGCAGGAAGCCUUAGGUACUCAGUUGUAUUUCAGCACUGCAUUUCAUCCUCAAACAGAUGGUCAAUCUGAGCGUGUAAUUCAAGUAUUGGAAGAUAUGCUUCGAUGUUGUAUACUAGAGUUUGAAGGUAAUUGGGAGAGGUAUCUACCUUUGAUUGAAUUUGCUUACAAUAAUAGUUAUUAGUCCAGUAUUAAAAUGACUCCAUAUGAAGCUUUGUAUGGUAGAAAAUGUAGAACACUGUUAUAUUGGACAGAACUCAGUGAAAGGAAGAUACAUGGGGUUGAUUUGAUCCGGGAAACAGAAGAAAAAGUAAAGGUUAUUCGGGAUAGUCUAAAAACAGCUUCCGAUUGUCAAAAAUCAUAUGCCGACCUUAAAAGAAAAGAGAUUGAAUUUCAAUUCGGUGAAAAGGUAUUCCUGAAAGUGUCUCUAUGGAAGAAAGUUCUUCGAUUCGGUCGAAAAGGUAAACUGAGUCCAAGAUUUAUCGGGCCAUAUGAAAUCAUAGAAAGAAUUGGACCGGUCGCUUAUCGAUUGGCAUUACCACCGGAACUUGAUAGAAUCCAUAAUGUUUUUCAUGUAUCUAUGUUACGACGAUAUCAAUCAGAUCCUUCAGAUGUUAUUUCUCCGACAGAAGUGGAGAUUCAACCGGAUCUAACUUACAGUGAAGAACCGGUCAAGAUAUUGGCACGGGAGACAAAAGAGCUUAGAAAUAAAAAGAUAAAUUUAGUGAAAGUAUUGUGGCAAAAACAUGGGAUUGAGGAAGUGACAUGGGAACCGGAGGAGGCAAUGACGAAACAAUACCCAAACCUCUUUACUGGUAAGAUUUUCGAGGACGAAAAUCCUAAAGGGGGGAGAGUUGUAAUGGCCUAAAUUCAAGGUUAUCGAAAUAAUGGUUUCGUAACCACAAAUCUGAUUUAAAGAGAAACUUAUUUCAAUAUUUUUGCAUGAAAAUUGAUAUGAUAGGAAAAUCGUAUGAAAAUAUCGAUAGAAAAAUUUUACCGAUUUAGUGGUUAGUUAGAAAAAGAAAUUAUUAAAGAAAAUGAGUAAAAUAAGAUAUCGGGACCUAUAUAUCAUAAGACCGAGUCGAAAAUAAUUUUAUAAAUAUUUAUGAAAUGUUAUUAAUGUGGUAUUAAAAUUUCGUUAGGAAAUUUUAAUGUUUGGAUAGUUAAUUAAAUGAAAAGGACUAAAUUGUAAAAGGUGUAAAAGUGGAUGAGAUGAUUAAAUAGCUUAAGUGUCUAAUGAGAGAGGAUUUAAAAGGAAAUUAGACCCACAAUUUAUUUGGGCUGGACGGCAAGGGCAUGAAAUCAGCAGAAAAUUGAUAAAUUAAGGGCAAAAUUAGAAUAUUGCAAAAUUAACUAAAUAAAACUAGGACUAAAUAGGAAAUAUCUAGAUUUCUCUUCAUUUCUCUUCAAUUCCAGCAGCUAAAAACGCCAUAGGAGUGUUCUCUAAGUGAGUUAAUCCUUGCAUUUUUCUUGUAAUUUUUGUGUUUCUAAGACUUUUACAACUAGGUCCUACUAUUAAAUUCAUUAGUUUUUGAUAUCAUGGAUGAAAUUGAAAGUCACCAUGGUUGAGUGCUGUAAUUUUGUGAUGAAAUAGAAUGAAAUUAAAGCUUUAAUUUGUUUAUGAGAUGAUUUUAUUAGGUAAUUUCAAUAGAAAUUGCUUUUUAGGACCUAAUUCUGAAAAUGUUUGGAAUUAAAGUCUAUUGUUGAAUUUUUUAUUCUUAAAGGUUGUAAACUAGUUUAAGGUGAUAGAAUAAAGUAUUAAUUGAGAAAUAUCAGCUCAAUUGAGGGGCUAAUUGAGUAGGGAUGAAAUUUUUAUUUAUCAAAAGCUUAAGGGAAAAAUGGUAAUAAACAACUUGCACUAAAACAAUAUUGGAGAGCAGCAGUAGACUAACUUUGAAAAAUUACCAUAAAUUUUAGAAAUCAAAUUGGAAGAUGAAAAAAAUAGGAAAUUAAAGCUUAUUGAGUCUAGUUUCUCAUAAAGAAACAGUGUAAGCAAUGGAUCUGUAAAUCAUGAUAUAUAAUGAAUUUUGUGAGACAAGUUCAGAAUGAAUUCGAGUUCCCCUGUUCUGACUUUGAAAAAUCAUAAAAAAUGAAUAAAAAUAAUUAUGGGCUUAAAUUUAUAUGCCUAGAAUUAUUAAUGAUUCUAUUUUCAAGAUAAAUAAACGGUAACAUCAUCCGAAAUCUGUAUUACGAAAUAAUUAAUUUUUAGUGAAGAAGGGUCAGAACUAUCAGACAACAGAACAGGGGUGACAUUAAAGAAUAAAAUGUACUUACUGGCUACACCAAAAAUUCUGAAAAUUUUAUGGUAAGAAGAUAUAUGAGUCUAGUUUCAGGUAAAAUUAAUGGAUCUUAAUUUGGAGUUACAUAGCUCGAGUUAUAAAUAAUUUAGUGACUAUGACUCAAAUAGACAGCUUUGAAUAAACCAUAAAUAAUAUAAUGAAAUUAUAGAAAUUGUUGCAUAUGAACAUGAAAUGUAUUAAAUUGAUAAUUAAAUUUAUUUAUUUAGAUUUAGAAGAUUCAAAUACGAAGCUAGAUCGAGGAAAGGAAAAAAUUCAGGAUUAGUAGAUUUUUGUACACGAACAAGUAUCAAGGUAAGUUCGUGUAACUUGAAUUAUAUUCUUAAAUGCUUGAAAUGUAUGUUAUUGAUUUGAAUAUCAUUUCAAUGUUCAUUGUAUGAAAAUUAAUGAAACAUAGAUAUAUUUGAUAAAAUGGGAAGAAAUCCCGGUUGAAUGAAAGGAAAAUUUGAUGGAUCUCUGGAAAGGAAUUGACGGUAAAAAGGAUCUAGCCCGGACGGGUGAUCCUAUCCUGAUAUAGCCCCCCGAAGAAUAUGUGUAAAAUGGAUUUAACCCGGAUUGGUAAUCCGAAUUAGGGUCUGAAUUUAGCCUGGACUGGUAAUUCAGAUCCAAGCUCAUUAGAGUAAUUGUCGUUGCAGGGGAUUUAGCCUGGACUGGUAAUCCCGCUGUAAGGAUGAGGUUCGCGGGAGUGUGCUCUCUGAAAUGGAAAUGUGCGCACAUGAAUAUGAAUUGACGGACCCGGGAAUGUACACUAAAAGUGUACCUCUGAAAAUCCAUCGAAAUUUUGAGAAAUUUAACGGGAUAAAUAUGGAAAAAUAACAAGGAAAUGGAAAUCAUGGUAUUGAUGAGCUCAUCAAUCAUAGUAUAUAGUAUUGGUACAUGAAAUUAUUGUACUAACUUGAAUGUUGAGUUUGUGCAUGUUAGGGUAAUAAUGCAUUGAAUGGAUAUAUGAAUGUUUAUUGUAUUGUAUUGAAAAUAUUAGGUAAGUAUAAUUCUUCUUACAUGAGCUUACUAAGCACAAAGUGCUUACCCUGUUUCCUUUUCCCCUAUUUUGUAGUGUUAAGAGCUCGGAGGUCGGAUUUGGUCGGAGACACAUCACACUAUCAACCUUAGGAUUUCGGUAUAUAAAAAAAACUUUAUUUUGGAAAUCAAUGGCAUGUAUAAGCUAAUAAAGUAAAUGAUUCUGUGAAAUGAAUGUAAGGUCAACCAAUGGUAUGGCUAACAAAUCUUGGUUUUGGUAUGCGAUGAUGUUAUCUUAUAAAUAUGCGUGAAUAUAUAUGCGUUAACCUAUCUUGAAAAUAUGUUGAAUUGGAUUGGUUGAUGUGGAUUAUUUUUGGUCUCGAUUUAAUAUUGCAGGCAAGGUUAGAUAUUUAUAAAGGGGCUAUAUUGAAUAUAUAAAAAAAAUCGUAAACUCCGGUAAUUCCUCGUACCUUAUUCUAGCAAUGAAUACGGGUAGGGGGUAUUACAAGUUCUCUGAUUGCUGCUCAUGGUAGCUCUCCUCCUUUUGCUCUUCCUGGUAUUCCUUAUUUUUUGCCUCAUGUUGAGGAAACCUUAUCUAGAAAGGAUGGUGAGCUAUUCUCAUCGUGUGGACAUAUGAGUAUGUGAGAGUACCCUUAUGACCUCAGGAAAGUGGUGGAGAAGUGGAAGGCUUUUUUACUAGAAACUACAAAAAGGCAAAUGUGCAUUGCUAAGUUAUUGUGUGGUGCGAAGAAUCCUCUACUGUCAAAGCUUACCUCAUCCUUACAAGUUCUAUUGUCUGAGGCUACUAUGGUUAACUUAAGCUUUAGUAAAAAUGUUGGUAAAGCUAAAGCUAGUCAAAGGGAGCUCGAGGAAACUAAAGGGGAUUUAGAGAGAACUUGCAAGCUAUACCUCAAGAUUAGAGAGGAGAAUGAAGAUCUUUAUAGAUAAAUUAUAGAGCUAGUUGGUCACCUGAGAGCUGCUAAGGUCAAAAUUGAUGAGUUAUUUGAGAAGGCCGUAGUUGAAAAGGAAAAAAAAUUGGCCCUAGAUUCUGAUUUGAAGAAAAUGGCUAAUGAGCAUAAGGCAAUUGUGAAUCGAAUUGUUGAAGAAUAUGAAGCUACUAUGGAAAAGUCAGAGUAGAAACAAAUAAAGGCCUUAGAAAAAUUUAAAAGGGAGACUCUAGAGAACUUGAGUAACCUUGCUCAAGAGCUCAAGUCGAACAAACUUAUGCAUGUCCAAGUUGUAGGUGGCCCUUUUGAUGCUCUCAGGGUUUAUCUCGAUGCUUUCUGUGAUGUGGAUAUGAACCAACUGGGUGUUAAUGUCUACUUCCCCUCCGAAGCUGCUUGGGAUGAGUUUACAUCCAAAAGAAGGAAAUCAAAAGACUUUUAUCUAGAUGAAGACCUAGUUGAAACCAACACUGCUCCUGUUGACAAAAAUGAAGCCAAUGAGGACCCCGCUGAAGCCAAUGUUGCUCCUACUAAUGGUAAUGACAAUAUUAAAGUUACUGAAAGAGAAAGAGAAAAUGAGAUCCUCAGCGACCAUGAAUGGGCUGAUAAUAUGCUUUAAUUGUAACUUUGUAUUACUUUUCUCAUCUUGAAAUGAAAAUUUAAGCUUUGAAAAUUUUCAAAUUUGAUUGUUAUUAUUAUGACAUCAUAUCCUUUUGUGAACUUAUUUUUUCUUUUCGUAUAACACUACUGCUUGUACUAAAAAUUUGAACUUAAACAACUUUUUAAAGAUAUUUUCAGGAAUUUUUAAUUGAUUUAGUGUAAUUCAAUUGUUCUGUUUUAAGUGACUUAUUAUCAAUUUUGACUUGAGUGUUCUUAAACAUCUAUGUUGUGAAUUUAAGUCAGCAAACUCGAAAGAAAUUAAGUUACGAUCUCAAAUCAAUUAAGCCUUAAGUACCACCCAAGAAGGUAGCCUUGCUAGUUGUGCUGGAUCUGCGAGCUUAACUCUGCGAGCUCUUAUAAUGUCAAAUGGGAACAUAGGUCUGCUAGUUGUUUUAGAAGUUGUGAUUUUAAACCGUCAAACCUUUAUGACAUCAGCUAGGAGCGUAGGUCUGCUAGCUGUGUCAGAGCUAUGAGCUCUUAUAAUGUCAACUGAGAGCGUAGGUCUGCUAGCUAUUUUAGAGGUUGCAAUCUUAAACCGUCAAACCUUUGUGACAUCAGCUAGGAGAGUAGGUCCGUUAGUUGCUUUGGAGGUUGCGAUCUUAAACCGUCAAACCUCUAUGAUAUCAACUGGGAGCGUAGGUCUGCUAGCUGUGUCAGAGCUAUGAGCUUAACUCUGUGAGCUUUUAUAAUGCCAGCUGGAAGCGUAGGUCUGCUAGCUACUUUAGAGGUUGCGACCUUAAACCGUCAAACCUUUAUAACAUCAGCUGCAGCGUAGGUCCGCUAGCUAUGCCGAAGCUACGAGCUUAACUCUGCGAGCUCUUAUAAUGUCAACUAAGAGCAUAGGUCCACUAGUUGUGUUGGAGCUGUAAGCUUAACUCUAUGAGCUCUUAAAAUGCCAGUUGGGAACGUAGGUCUGCUAGCUGCUUUAGAGGUUGCAAUCUUAAACUAUCAAACCUUUCAACUAUAACAAGUACAAGUGUUUAUAAAGAGAAUAUUUUUAUUCAAAGAGUAAGAAAUUACACAUAAUAUUUCUUAAGGUGAUGAACAUUCCAUGUUUACGGUAGAACUGUACCUUUCAUUUUUGCUAACUUGUACGCUCCAUAACCUAUCUUCUCAAUGACUUUGUAUGGCCCUUCCCAGUUCGGAGUCAUUUUCCCUUAUUGCGAAGCUAGAAAACUAGCCUCGAUGUUUCUAAGGAUAAGAUCACUUAGUUGGAAUUGCUUGUUCUUAACCUUAGAGUUUUAGUAUCGAGUUAUUUGCUAAGCACGUGUUGCAUUCUUAAUCUCCGCUACUUCUCUAAACUCAUCGAUGAGAUAAGGGUUAAACCUGAUAGCCUCUUGAUUGAUAUCUUCAUUAAAAUGUGUUGUCCUAUGUUACCGCAUACCAAUCUCAGUGGAAAUUACUGCCUCAGCGCCAUAGACAAGGGAAAAUAUUGUUUCUCCUGUUGCAGUAUAAUGUGAAGUCCGUAGAGCCCAUAAGAUUCUUGGUAGCUCAUUUAACCACACACCAUUGGCCUCAACAACCUUCUUUUUCAAAGCUGUUAGAAUCUUCUUAUUCAUUGCUGUAACACCCCUAACUCGUACUUGUCGUCGGAACAGGGUUUAAGAGUAUUACCGAAACAUUCAGAACAUUUUACAAAUAAUUCAUGUAACAUACUAUUCAUUUACCAAGAUCAUUCAAAAAGUCCAUUGAUUGGGCCCUCGAGGCCCAAUACAAGCAUUAGAAUCGAGUCAGGACUUCAUCGGGAACUUUAAGAAUUUUUCACUACUUUUCAAAAUUUUUCCAAUAUGCAGGGCUCACACACCCAUGUGGUCCAAGGGACACGACCGUGUGACCCUAGGACACACCCGUGCUAGAGGUCAUGUUCGACUCCGUGUAACUCUCUAACUUGCACACACAGUCAUGCCACACGCUUGUGUGCUAGGCUUGUGGUCAAUUAAUUCAAUUUGAAAUUAGGUGCAGGUUUCACACGGACACAUGCCCGUAUUUUAGGCCAUAUAGCACACACGGCUGAGAUACACGCUCGUGUCUCUGCCCAUGUGCUUAAUUCUAAGCAUUCUGUUUCUCAAAAUUAAGGUGCAGGGGACACACAACCUAACCACAUGCUCAUGUUACCAGGCCGUGUGCCACACACGGUCUAGACACACGGACUGUGGACAAAAUAAAGUCAUUUCUAGCUUCAUUUCUCACACAAAUUCACACUAAUGACCUGCACUUAAACUCACAUCCAUAAACCAACCAAUUCAAUCAUUCAAAUUUAGCAAAUUCCAUCAUACAUCAUGGCAUAACAUUUCAUACAUACAUGUUUACAACCAUAACUAAGUUUGACAUUAUAAGUAUAUUUAAACAAAUCGUUACUAGCCAUUCUAAUGGUUAGAUUACAAGCAUCAUUUACAUUUACAUGCCAAUAUGGCUAAUAUAACGUAUACAUGUCAUUACACCAUAAUUGAUUUACCAUAUUGUACCAACAUGGGCCGAUGGAUAGUGUGAGUGAUCUCCGCCAAGCUUUCAAUCCAACAAGCUUUAGAUUUACUCUAAAACAAGGAAAUAAAACUAAGUAAGCAUAAAAUGCUUAGUAAGUUCGUAUAACGUGGUACUUAACUUACCAUUCAUUCUAUUUUGAGGUAACUAUGUAAGGCAUUUUCAAUCAAUUUGACCUCAAGCUCUACACACAUCCUCAUUGCCUUUGUUAGUCAUAUAUUCCAUAAAGACCUCAAAACAUAUAUGGGCUCAUCAACAAUCAAGUUUCCAAUCACAUAUGUUUUCCACAGCAUGUAUUCAUUCAAUAUGCAUAAUUCAUCUCUUUAUUAUAAGUAUAAUUUCAUACUACUUCAUUUCAAGUUUAGAUAAUUUCAUAUAAGAAUUGUACUCAUAUUACUUGGAAUAUCAAUGUCACGAUUAGUACAUUCAAGGUGUAUAAGUCUCUAAUCAAGAAUGAACAUAUAUUCAUCAAAUAAAGUCCAUGUACAAAUAUCAUCAUCUCACAUUUUCAUAUAUCAUUUGUCAUGUAUCAUCAUUUGUUUGUAUUUCAGACAGAUACGUGUAAUAACUCAUUUUAUCAUUCAUAUCUUCUCAUGUCUGAAAUUGUCACCCGUUAAAUUUAUUCGGAAUAUCAAUAGACACGCAGGUAAUACAUUCGAGGUGUACGAAUCAGGAUCCAUUAAUUCAUGUCUAAUGGUACCCAUAAGGUACUAUAUCAGAGAGUACACUCUCGAGCCACACAUGUAUACGACAAGAGCUUAAUCUGGACUACCCGUCCAAGCUAAAUCCAAUCCAUAACAUGUGCUCGAGAGGACUUAUAUCAGGAUUACCCAUCCGGGCUAAAUCCUUUCCAUAAUGAGGUCAAUAGGAUUACUCGUCUGAGUUAAAUCUCGUCAGCAACAAAUGCAGGACCUCAUUCAUUUCGAGAAAUCACAUAUCCAUAGGUUUUCUAUUUUAUUCAACCGGGAUUUAAACAUUUUUCUCAAGCGUUAUUGGUAUGUGAUUAUUUCAUACAUCCACAACAUUCAUGUAAUUCAAAUAAACACAUUCUACAUUCAUUUCAAGCAUAUAAAUAACAUUCUCAUCGUUUAUCCUUUAUCAUCUAUCGGGUAUUAUCAUUUAAUUUAAACAUUUUCAUUUAUCGAGCUUGAUCAGAUAUGUAAUCAUUUCACAUAUUUAUGACAUUUAUACAAUUUACAUAAACACAAUCAAUGCAAGCAUGAAAAUAAACACAAUUUAGUUACAUAAACUUACCUCGACAAAUGUUAGUGUACAUAACAUCUACUAAUCCAACAUUUUCCUCUUUUCCUUGUUCUAGCUCCGAAUUUGGUCUAUCCGGAUCAAUACGAGUAAAUUUAUCAUCAAUUUAUCAUAUUUUAUAUUCAAGUGGACUCAAUUUUUAUCCUAGGAAAAAUUACCAUUUUGCCCCUAACUUUUCCAAAAAUUCUCAUUUUCAUCCCUAGGCUUGAAAAAUAAAAUUUGUGCAAUUUACUCCCUAUUCCAAGCCUAGCCAAAAUCCCAUUACAAAAUUUACAGCACAUUUAUUCAUAAAAAAUCAGCAUUUUUCUUCAAUUUUCACAACUUUUCAUUUUAGUCCCUAAAUCAUGUUUUCAUCAAAAAUCACUUUGUAAAAGUUGUUUAUCUAUCAAUAAUCUUUUAUUUUCUACCACAAAUUUAUAAUUUCCAGCAUAUUCAUCCAUGAUCUAUUUUUCAUACAUUGAUAACUUUUCAAAUUAAUCCCUCAAAUAGAUAGAUUAGACUAUCCCGGUUUCAAAAAUAUAAAAAUUACUAAAAACGAGGCUUGAUUACUUACCCAAAUAAGCUUGAUAAGUCUUCUUCCUCUCUCCUAAGGUUUCCAUGGAAAUAUUUGGGCAAGAUGAUAUGAAAUUGUUUUCUUUUUCAUUUAAUUAAUUUAACAUUUAAUAACUUUUCAUCUUUCCAAUUUAGUCCUUAGCCUUUUUUUUUAUUUUUACAUGGAUGAGUCAUACCAAAAUAUCUACAUACUUUAUUUAAUGGUCAAAUUACCAUAUAAGGACCUUAAUUUUUGAAUUCCAUAACUAUUUAAUCCUUAUAGCUACUAGAAUUGAACUUUCGCAUUUUAUGCGAUUUGAUCCUUCCCGUAAUUAAACACUUAAUCAAUAAUAUUUUCUUAUCAAAAUUUUCACAUGAAAUGUCUACCAUAAUACGAACCAUAUAAUAAAAUAAAAAUAAAUUUUAUUUUUCGGCUCGAAUUUGUGGUCCCAAUGCCACUGUUCUAAUUUCACGGAAAUUGGGCUGUUACAAUUGGUUUAGUUUGCCCAUUCGUUUGUGGUGUUUUAAUAAAACUCUGAGCCAAAGCAAUCUGAAGAUUUACAUAGAAAUUUUUGAACUUUUCAUGAAACUGUGUGUGAUUGUCUGUGAUAAUCAAGUGAGGUAUACCAAACCUACACAUAAUUGAUUUCCAGAGAAAAGACUCCAUUUGUUUCUCUAUGAUGGUCGCCAAAGCUUUAGCUUCAAUCCACUCGGUGAAAUAGUUGAAAACCACCACUAAUUUUUUUGUAUUGUAGCCAUUGGGAAUAGACCGAGAAUAUCAAUUCCCCAAGUCACAAAUGGUCAGGGGCUCAACAUGACUAGAAGAGGUUCUACUGGUUGUCUGUGCACCUGAGCAUAUCUCUAGUAGGAGUCGUAUGUGUAAACCAAAUGAUGUGUAUCCUUUUGAACCGUAGGCUAGUAACACUCUUGCUUGAAAGUUUUUUUGGCAAGUAGUCUUCCAAUUAAAUGGUCACCACAAAUGUCUUCAUGAAUUUCUCACAUUAUGUGCUCAACCUCAAACGAUGAAAACAUCGUAGCAGCGGAUACGAAAACCCAUUUUUAUAUAGUACACCCUCUAAAAGAGUAUACCUAAAAAUUGUAGGUUAAAAUGAAUUAUUUUAACUUGCCAUAUAAUUGAGUAAUUUAACAAUUAUCUACACAGUACUCAAAUGUCUAAUUUAUCGAUUAAAAUUUUUGGGAGUAUGUAACUUGUGACAACGACAUACCUCGGAGAUUUACGUUGUAACCUUGUGAGCUCUUUCGUGUCCAGAUUAUCAUACACUUAUUAUAAUGUGUGAACUAAGUGAUUCAUCAAUAUCUCUUCCUGAUUUAUAUUCAAAACUUGUUGCAUAUCAAAGCUCGGGGUAUCCCAGUACUCCAGAAAAUUUUUUCCUCUUUGCUCAAUGACAAUAGAGGAUGCAACUUUAGAUAAAGCAUUUGUACGUGUGUUGUCACUCCUUAUGAGCUGCUUUAUCUGAACUUUGCCAAAUCCUGCGAGCAGUUGGAUUGCAACUGAAUGAUAUCUUUUUAACACUACCUCCUUAACGUAGUCGUUAUUCAUUUGCUUUGCCACUAAUUGUGAAUCUGUAUGGAUGAUCAUAUCCUUCACUCCUAGUUGGUGUGCUAGUUAUAACCUUGAUAUUAAAGCUUCAUAUUCUGUUACGUUUUUGGAUGUUUGAAAUCCAAAAGUUAAUUCGUACUGCCAUUCAUUCCCACUGGUAUCAAUCAGAAGUACCCCUACUCCUGAACCUGCCUUGGCUAUGGAGCCAUCAAUAUGCACUAGCCACUUUUUCGAAUUAUCAAUUAUAUCUACACCCCUUUAAGGUGGACUAACUACUGGGUUGAGUACAACAGAUGAAAAAGAGAUCUUAGAAUAAAGUGUGAGUUGAUCAUAAAUUAUUAUAAAAAUAAUAGGCUAAAUUGUAACAGUCCAUUUUUCAGUGGUGACAGAAUAAUGGUUUCGGGACCACAAAUUUCCAUCGUGUCGACCCAUAAAUAUUGUUUAUAGAAUAUUUACGGAGUCAUUAGAGUCAUAAUUAUUGCAUUUAGAUGAUUUAAUAGCUUAAAUAUCAUAGGAGGGAGGACUUAUGUAGCAAUUAAAACCUAGUUAUUAUUGUUCGACGGCAAUUGGAAUGACAAUAAUAAAAUAACAUAUGUUUUAAUGGCAAAAUAGUAAUUAAUAUAAAAUUAAAACAAAAUAAUUAGAAAAAGAUAGCAUGUUCUUCUCCAUUUUAUUUUCAUUGUUGGCCAAAAACACCAUAAGAGAGAAGCUUAAACAUUCAGCUGGUUUUAGCCUUGCAUGGGUAAGUUUUGAGUCCCGUUUUUAAUGAAUUUUAUGUUUUUGAAAUCGUUACAACUAGGUCCAACUAACCUGUACCUUUCUUUUUGAAUCUGUUAAAAGUUUUAGAAGUUUCCAUUGUGAAUCUUGGUUUUUUUAUGAUAAUUAUGUGUUUGAAGCUUUGGUUGUGGUAUUUGGUUGUUUUAUGAAGUAAUUUUUAUUAGUUUUUUAUUUAAGGAUUAAAUUAUUAAAAUGUCAAAAUUUUAAGGUUUGAUGGUGAAUUAGAGGUAUAUUAGCACUGUUUACUGGCCUAUAUUAUUCGGUUGUAAAUUUUGACUUGAAAAAAUAGUUAAUUUGAUUAUUUUCGGGUUGUUAACUUAAGAAAAUGAUUUUCGGUUGUUAAUUUGCAAAAGUUGUAAAAGUUAGGGGUAAUUGUGUAAUUUUAAAAAAUAAAAGGGUCUAAAAUGCAGAGUUAACUGGAAUAUGAAAUGUAAGCUAAUAAAUCAAGACCUUGUUGAUUUACGUAGAAAAGGGAAAAGUGCAGAAUAGUCCUUGAACUUUUACAACUAUUACAAUUUAGUCCAGGUAAGUGCGUUUGAUUUUUAAUUUAAUAUCUAUAUGAAUUGUAUGAUGAUAUGGUAUAAAAUAGUGGAUAUUGAUUAUUCUAUUGAUGAUGUAAAGUUGUUUGGGAAAAUGUUAUUGAAUUUUGGUACUUGAGCUGGAUGAAUGCGAGAUAGAGUACAAUUGAAUGACGGCGUGCUAUGCAUAUAUUAGAGCGGAGAUUGAUGUGGUGUGCUUUAUAUAUUUUUCCCGAGUAUACUGAGGUUCAACAUUUUUUGCGAAUCCUCGUGUUCUACUAUCUUGUUUUGGCGUGUUAUGAGGGGCAAAUGUAUAGCCUACAGGCACUUAAUGUCGAGGCGUGUUAUUGGUUAGAUUAGCUCUCCUGAGCAUUUGGCGUGUUAACAGUUGGAUUAGCUCUUAUGAGCGUUUGGCGUGUUUCGGUUAGAUUACUUAUAUACUUGUAUUUGUAAGUCGUUCAUCAUGUCGUAAAUUAUUGUAUUAUAACUUGUUUAAUGACUUUGAAUGGCAUAACAUGUACUAGAUAUCUUGAAUUGACUCCGUUGUGGACUUGUAUAUUUUCCGAAAAUUAUUAUUGAGCUUUAAAUUAAACUAUGUAAUCACUACAGCAAAACCGAUUUUUAGCGGCGUUUUUUUGGCUUUUAUAAGCCUUGCUAAAAGCCCUGCAAAAAACGCCACUAACAUUUUGUGGCGUUUAUGUAAAAAAAACGCCGGUAAAGAACAUAACUUCUACCGGUGUUUUUGAGAAAGUGUAGCUAAAAACGUGACCUUUAGUGGCUUUUUUUCACACAAACGCUGCUAAACAAUGUGACCUUUAGCGACACUUUUCACAGAAAUGCCGCUAAAGAACGUGACCUUUAGCGGCGCCUUUCACACAAACGCCACUAAAGAACGUGACUUUUAACGACGCCUUUCACACAAACGCUGCUAAAGAACGUGACUUUUAGCGGUGCCUUUCACAAAAACGUCGCUAAAGAACAUGACCUUUAGCGGCGUUUUUAGUAAAAACGCCACUAAUUUUAGCAGAUUUCUAGUAUCCUAUUUUCAUUCAUAUACAACCCUUCCUGUAACAUCAAAUCCAACAAAUUACAGCAAAUCUAAAUGAUACUUCAAAAAUCCAAUGAAAGAUAUAUUAUCUAAAUUAAUAAAAUAAAUAACAAAAUAUUCUUACAAUAAUGUUAAAAGUUAUAUUUUUGAAAAAUUUUUGCAAUAAGAAAAUAAACGUCUAAGAUGGUAAAAUUCUGCGACUGCUGAAACAUCUUCAUCAUAUUCUGAAGCUGUAGCUAGAGUUCGUUGUAUUCUCUGUUUUGCUCUGCUUCCCUCGCUGCUGCCUCCUCUUUAAGUUGUAGCUGGAGUUCUUCAUAUUUUCUUUGAACCUCUACUUCUCUCAAUGCUGUAUCCCCUUUAAGUUGAGCAAUUUGCUCAACUAUGCUUGCUUGCAUCUGAGCCAUCUGGUUUCUUAACCUCUAAUCUUCAGCUUGAGCUUGACUCUCUAAAGGCAUGUAUUACUGUGAGCUGAUCCAAAAUAUUGGGUUAGGUUAACACCAGAUCCUUGAAAUCGAACCCGACCAUACCUUUCAAGACCCAAAACUUCAGUAAUAAUUCUGUUAUCAGUGUCCUCAAGAUUAACAGAACUAUCACUCGAAGCAAUCGCUUCAUACUCCACCUUUUUAUCCUUUAGUUUCUCCUAAUAAAUCACUCAAAGAGUUAGAAACAAAAUAUAUAAUAAAAACAAAUGCAACAUAACUUAACAUUAUUUAAAACUACUAACGACGAAUUAAACCAUUAUAACUAAACCAUUAUAAUUAAACAUUAUAAAUAUUUAAAAUAAAUCAAAUUUUAUUAAGUAAAUAUACUAUAAUUUCUCCAACUUCAGAAGUCAUUGGAGAUCCAUCUUUCUUCCUAUGUGUAAUGUCAAAAAGCUGAAGGCGUCCAACUUUUUGACCAGACGAGAGUUCCUACAACAUAGUAGUAAAAAUAUUAUUUAAUAGAAAGUAAUUAAUAUUUGACAUAAUUAAUAAAUUCAAAAUACCUCAACCUCUGCUACACAAGCAAAACUUUUCGACCAUGCUGUGUGUGUGAAUUUUUGUUUUUGCCUGCUGCUUGUUCCAACUUGCUCACGGUCCUACAUUAUGAAAUUACUAUUAUGUAUAUAGUAAAUACUAUAACCGAAAUAAUUAUAAGAGUUUGGAAGUACGUAAUACCUCUCCUUUCUUUGAAUUCCAGAAUCUAACCGCAUCUUCGCUUUGGUACCUCAGUAUUCCCGGUGGGACAUUUCGCAGUUUCUCUUUGAGGCUUAUAUCUUUCUUAAAAUAUUCUUUCUUUGAAGUGCUUUUAUAGUCUCUCCAUUUUUUUCCCAAAGCCUUCUUGAUAUAAGUAUUUGAGACCUCUAAAGCAAAUCUCUCCUAAAAAAACACAAGUUUAGAAAGUAAAUAUAAAUGAAACUUAAACCAAAGUAUUAUAAAUUACAUUCAUGUUUUGUUACCUUAAUAUUAUCGAGAGCUUGAUUUUUAUAUCUAUCAGGAAUUUGAUGCCAUGAUUCAUAUUUUAUAGGCAACAUAUUGGCAUUUCGUGCUAUAAUGCCCAAAUAUCCUGCUAAAAGUCGAGCUUCUGAUCCAACAGGCUGACCAAGAUUGUUUCUAGAUACUUUGACAUGCUCGACAGGAUUUAACUCGUAUAAAUCUUUAAGUAGUGUAUGUCCUCGACCUUUGCGCGUCCCACAACUUUCAACUGAAAAAUGGUAUAUUAUAAUAUAAGAAUUUGGAAAAGAAAUCAAUAAUAAAAGUCAACACGCAUGCAAAUUAAAUUUAACAUUACUUUGAAUUUCUACAGGCUCGUUAGGUGUUUCCGGAACAUUCAAAGAUCCAAUAGCAGUUUGUUGUUCACCAUUUGUUUCUUCCGAAUUUGGAGUAUUCUGAACAGUACUUAGAUCUCGUAAUCUUCUUUUAGGCAUUUUUUCUGCAAUACACAUAAAAUAGUUGAAAUUUUAGUAACUAAUUACAACAAUAAUAGUACAUAUAAAACAGUUGAAAUAUUUAACAAUACUAAGAUUUAAAUUAUAAUAUUAAAUAUAAUUAAAAAAUUAUAAAAUCUUAUUACAUCAUAAUUCGUAAAUAUCUUCAUCCACAUCAUAAUUGCUUAGUUUUUAGUGUCAUUUGGUCCAAAAAUGCCGUUAUUGCUCAGUUUUUUGCGAUGCUUUAUUGUAAACGCCGCUAAUGUAUAAUCUUUGCUGCGUUUUUUGUCCAAACGCCACUAAAAACGCUGCUAAAGCCCUAUUUUCCUGUAGUGAAUUCACUGGUUUGAAAUUGUAGAUGACAGGAAACAUUUUUUGUUGAAUUAUAUUAGAUUAAAUUGUUAUAUUUACUUCGGUAAGAUUUAUUGUUUCUGUCCAUUGAACUUACUAAGCUUCAAAAAGCUUACUUGUGUUCAUUUUUGUUUCUUGUAGAUACUUCUGAAGGUUGGACAAUCGGAUCAGCACUCAAGUCACACUAUCCCUCCGAUUUUAGUAGUUUUCAAACGUUUAUUUUGGAUUAUAUGGCAUGUAAUAGGUUGUUAUGUCGAUAACCUCGUUUGAUAUGUGUAUAUAUAUAUAUCUAUAACGCAUGUAAUUAGUUAAUCUUUUAAUCGAUGUUGUUUUGUAAUGUGAUGAUUGUUACAUGAUUGCUAGGUUUGGUGGUGAAUAUAGUUCAUUUUGUGAAGUUCUAGUUAAGUUUUUGGUAAGCUUUGCUAGGAAUAAAUAUGAUACAUGUUUGAUCUUAACUUUAUAAGGUUAGGUAUUUAGCUCAAAAUUGAUAAGAUUAUAUAUUUUGAAUGGAUUAAUCGUUAAUGAUUUAUAUGUUUGUAUAGAUGUGUAUACUUACGGUACCAUUGAGAGUACAUUGGUUAGAUAUUUAAGAUGGUUGAUUUAGCAUGAUUUGAGCAUGUUUAAUGGAAUUUUGAAUAAGUCUAAUGGCUGGUAAAUGGAUUGCUUAGUGUCUAAUAAACCUUGAAAUGGUAAAUUUGAUGUCUAAGGUUCAUUUAGGUGCACACGGCCUGGGAUACGGGUUGCCACACGGCCGUGUGCCACACACAGUCUAUGACACGGCUGUGUGUAACAAGUUAGUGAGUCACACGAUCUGCGACACGAUCGUGUGUAUCAAGUCAGAGAGUUACACUGUCUAGCACACAGUCUGUGACACGGUCGUGUGUAUCAAGCUAGUGAGUUACAUGAUUUAAGACACAGGCUGGAACAUGCCAUGUGUCCCAAUUUUGAAUACUCACAUGGUCUGGGCUAUGUCACACAACCGUGUGUCCCCUUUUUUAAAAUUUUUCAUAUUUUCCUGAAAUUUCCUAACUUGUUUCAAAUUAGUCCCUGAAAGUUUUAAAAUUAUUUCUUUAGUCCAUUUAAGCUCGAUUUAAGCCUCAUAAAUGUAAGUUAUUAUUGUAAUUUAAUUACUUUAUGGUGUUUGAGAAAUUAUAUUGUAAUGCUCAUGAUUUUUACUUGUUUAUUUAUGUUAACUUGCAGUAGAAUUCUCGUAAUCUCUAUUCCGGUGACGGAUACAAGUGUUACAUAAAUUGUUGUUGUUCAUCAAUUGUUCACAGGAAAUUAUGAAUACAUACACGUUUAAUUUCAUAAAAUAUUCAUAGCUCUAUAUUUCAAGUUGCACACUAUAUUACCUACUGGAUUAACAGUCUUUUCAAAAAAGCACUCAACUAUAAAGUUGACUAAUAUAUGUCCUUUUAAGGUUGUUCUCAGGGUGAACUCCAUGCCAAAUUCAGCUAACUCGAUACUCUACUUCUUCACCCUUCUCGAAGUAUCAGCUUUAGAUAAAACUUCCUUUUUACCAACAUAUCAUUGACAUAAACUUCAAGACCAUGCCCUAUCUACUUCUUAAAAAUCCUAUUCACCAGUCUCUACUAGGCUACUCCGACAUUCUUGAGGCUAAAAGGCAUGACCCGAUAGCAGAACAACCCCUCCUCAGUGAUGAAAGUUAUUUUCUCCUAGUUAUCUUGAUCCAACAAAAUUUGGUUAUAACCCGAAAAGGCAUCCAUGAAGCUCAUGAGCUUGUGAUCUGCAGAAGCAUCAACCAAACGGUCAAUUGAGGGUAAAGGGAAGCUGUCCUUAGAGCACAUUUUGUUGAGGUUGGUGGAAUCAAUACACAUUCUCCAUUUGCCAUUUUCCUUUUUCACCAUAACCAUAUUUAAGACCCAAUCUAGAUACUCAAUUUCCCUAAUAAAACUUGCCGACAACAAUUUGGCUACCUCUUGCCUCACGGCUUCUACUACCUGCGGAGCAAACUUUCUCUUUUUCUUCUUAACAAGCUUGGCUUCAAGAAGUACAUUUAUCUUGUAGACAAUUACCUACAAGUCAAUCCCUGGCAUAUCUGCUGCUGAUUAGGCAAAAACAUCGAAGUUCACUUUCAAAAACUGAACCAAAAUGUCAUUUUCUUCAUGUAAUAAUGUUGAUGAAAAUUUAAUUUUCUUUUGUUCAUCAUCGUAAAAUAGUUGUAAAAUCUUUGUAUGCUCUACUACUUCAGGUUUCUUACUUCUCUCUUCAUCCAUCACAUCUAGUCUGUCUAAGUCUAAGGCUUAACUAACCAACUUUGUGCUUUAUGAACUCUGCCCCUCGGUUGUGGACUCUCGUGCCUGCUUCACAGAUAACAUGUAACAUUGUCUCUUUGUUUGCUGGUCAGAUUGCCUGAACCCAAUCAUUAUCCUUAUCGAAAAUUUGAUCUUCAUACAAAAUGUCGACACUACCAUCUUCACUGUUCUCAUAAUUGGGCGCCUGAAAAUGGCAUUAUACGCCAUAGGAUGGUCCAUGAUAAAAAACUGGACAUAUUCUGUAGUCGUAUGCUCACCAUCUCCCAUGGUGACUAGUAAAGUGGUAGAAUCACUUACCUUAGUUGGGUGGUUCGCGAAACCAUAUAGUGGACUGGCCUUGGACAAAGCAUGUUCCUUCCAGCCUUUCUUCUGAUAAGCCUCCUAGGUUACAACCUCUAUCGCACUCCCACUGUCGACCAAUAUUCUUCUCACUUCAAAACCUACGAUCGUUGCAGAUACUAUCAUUGGUUUAUUUCUUUCUUCAUCACACAUGAACUCCUCAUUGUCAUUACCAAACUUAAUAUUCCAUAUUCCCUGUUAACAUGCCUUUUAGAUGGAUAUACUAUCAUAACACUCCUCAUAUGGGUUUUUCUCAUCGCAUUAGAACUUGCCCAGAACUCAUCUAUGCCUACAAUCACAUGGAUAGUACCUCUGACCUUUUGUUUACCCUUAGGAUCGCCCUGCGAACUCUAACCCUGCUAGAAAGUACAUUGAUCCACAAACUCAGCAAGCUCACCAUUUCUCACUGCCUCUUCGAUAGCAUCUUUCAAAGUAAAAUAAUAUUCGAUAUUGUACCCCACAUCAUUAUAGAAAGCACACCUAUCCCUGGAAUUUGACCUCUUGGUACUCUGCCUCAUAAGAGAUAGUUUAGGCAGGCUACCUAAACUCUUUCCUAGUUCAAUAUGUAUGUACGAGUAGUGUUUAAUGGAGUGUAAGCCUCAAACCUACCUUAAGAUAUAUACCUUCUUGUUUGCUUGGGUUGAGAUCCCUAAGGAGUUUUGGAAGAAUUACCCUAUGCCUGUGUUCUCUGUUGUCUAUCACCUCGGCAUGCAGAGCUUGGUUGGGUUACCCCUACCUACUGCGAGCUCCUUCUUUCUUUCAAAACUGUCUACCAUCUUCUUGAAAUGUGCUAUGCAUACAAGUUAGCCAAAGUCCGGGGCUUGUUACCCUAAGGAGUAUUGUACAUGUUCAUUUUGCACCCCGUGAUUAAGGCAUCGAUAGCCCAUUGGUUCUCAAUGUUCUUCAUAUUCAGUGUUACCGCAUGAAAUCGCUUCACGUAAUCUUAGAGAGACUCCGUUUCUCUCUAUUUUACUAACAUUAAUCUCAUAGGUAUGCUCAUGAUCGUUCUGUAAGCCCUGAACCUUCUUAGAAACAUCUGAACCAAUUGGGAAAAACUUCGGAUUGAGCCUUGAAGAAGAGAUAAGUACCAAUCAUUCGCACUUCCCUUAAGCGUUGUGGAAAAAGCUUUACACUUCGCAGGGUCUGAGGCUCCAAUUACAUUCAUAUAGUCGUUAUAUUGCAUCAAGUGGGCUCGUGGGUCUCUCUUACCCUUGAACAUGUCUUUUAAGACCUUAAAAUCACGCAGUAGAUUUAUUGCUGCUACCUCCGGGGCCAAUGGAUUGUUAGAAUAGAAAAGGUCCAUGUCUCUAGACUCAGGAUGCAAUGUCCUCACAUCUUGCCACAAUGCAUCCAUAUCAUUUUUCCAUUCCCUCACAUGCAAGCCCGGGCCUUCAACCUGCAUAGUCAUAUUAUCGUAAAAGUUAGAAUUAUCAGAUUGUACCUUUCUUUUAAAUUCUUCAUUUCGUUUCAAUAACUCUUGUUGAAAAGUCUGUUGUUGUUCAAACCGUGCAUUUUGUGCAGCCAUUUCUUCCCUCAUAAACUUCAUCUACUCUUGAAGAGCAAGGAAUUGUUGCGUUGACGCUUUUUGGUUGGAAGGAAGUGACAACCCGCGACCAGAGGGAAAGUUUAAGUCGAAUAGGCUUGAAACUCUCGGGUGAGCCAUAUUACCCAGAUUUUACGACCGAUCAGCAAACCAGUCAACAAACAAGUCUGUUCCAGCAAGUUGGCUACCAUAUCCCGAGGCUCCAAGUUAUCCAGAUGAAAGAUCGAAAGGGAAAUUUUCAUUCGGGUAAGCCAUCGUAACUUUGACAAUUUUUUAUCAAACUGAAAAGAAAUUCGUUGGUCGAAAAUAUGUGCACGCUCACAGUGUCAAUUGUUGAAUAUUUUUUCGUUAUGUCUCAUUGAAAGGGACAAUAAAAUAUUUAUACACAUGAUUAUUAUUCAUGGAAUUGACAUUCUUGGUAGGCUCUAUGUAUGUUGGAUACGUGUGUUGUUUUGGUCUGCUUCUAGGCCCCCACAUGCGAAAUUUUAAGCACAUGCGAACUGGAAUUGUGAACUACCGUUGCGAGCUCCUUUGGCGAACCCUCACCCCUUUGGCGAACCCUCACUACAAGGUCUACAUGCAUCUAAUUGGUUGGGCCCAACUGGGCCGCGGGUAGGCAAUCUAAAUUUUAUCUCGGUUUCAUAUUGGUGAACACAAUUACGUAACAAAAGUACAAGGACUUAAUAUUUAAAUAUAAAAAUUUAGAGGUUAAUUUUUUAAUUUUAAGAGGACAAAGAACUCAAAAGCAUAUUUAAACCUUUAUUCGCUCUCAACAAAGAAUUUGUUUUUUUUUUUUAAAUACCGUAGUGAAGAAAAGGAGACUUUUUCUGUCAGAUUAGGUUUCUCUCUCUGUUAGAGUCCUAUACUCUAAACUCUUAUCUCUUUUGCGGCUAGGGUUUUUCUUUCUACAGUACCUCUUCUAACUUUUUUUUUUAAAUUUAUUAGAAGAUUGGUUUGGUUUCAUAACAUAAAAAUCUAAUGGAAGUUUUGUAAGAGUAAGGGAUUUUUUGGUUAUUAUAAAAGAAAGAUUCUUAGGGGUUUGGAAGUGAUUAGUGUGGAUUUUUCAUUCAAAAAAAGAAAUGGCUGGUUUGAACCCUUUUGAUUUGUUGGGGGAUGACGACACUGGGGAACUAUCAUUGCUGAUCGCUGCUCAGCAAAAGGCCGUCGCAGCGGCCACUGCCACUGCUGCUGCCCCAAGGAAGGGCCCAGCAAAACCUCAAGCUAAGACGCUGCCUGCAACUCAGGCUAAGCUUCCCUCCAAGCCUCUCCCUCCUGCUCAGGCUGGUAAGUUUUCUCUAUCAAAGUGUCUCAUUAUUUUUAGCUCUCUGUAUUGGCUCUUGAGUUUACCCGAUUGUGUUAAGUUCAAGUUGCCUUUUCUUAAUGGUCGAACUCUGGGGGGAGGGGGGUUUGAGUGGGUUUAUGUUUAUUAUGCUUCGGUUUCGUUUCUUGUAAAGUGCAGUUGGACUCUGAUUGUUAAAAGAGUAUUUGUUGUUGGUUAUUUACUUGGAAUAUAGUCAUUGAGAGUUUCUUAUCUGUAUAGACUUACUUCUUAUAGUGAACAGAGCAAAAGAUUCCGGAACGCAUAUUGGUUUGUUGCUGUUAUUUCUUUUCUAAAAUGAAAUCCAAUGCUGUCAAGUUGCACUCAAGCUACUAGAAUCCUUAUAUGUGGUAUAAAAGCUUAAGAUAUAUGGUAAUGAUAAUAAACCUCUAAAAGAUAGAUCAAACUUUAAUCUCAUUCUCCUACAAAAAAAUGAAAUGUACAAUUUUUUGUUGGCCAAUGUGCAUGGUUUUUCUUUUUUCUUUUUUUAUCUCAUGUCUGUUGUUGAAUAAUCAAGCAUUGAGAAGUAGAGUGUUUGGUAGUGUUCUUCUAUUCUUAGUAAAGGUAAAAUUAAUGAAAAAUAAAAUAAAAAAUGAAUGAACUAAAGAAAACUUCUAAUCCAAUGCAUCUUGCCCAAGAGGUCUUGAGGCGCUUUUUUUGUUUGAUGCUGAGGCGCAGUGCCAAAGGUGCAUGCCUUAACUAUAGAAAUGAAAUCUGCAUUCUGUGGGGAACUUUUGUCUUUUAUAUCAUAUUCUCUGAAAGUGUCAAUUGGUGUUCCAUCAAAAAGGAGUUCUUUUUUGCUCCUUUUCAAAGUGCUUAUGCGUUGGUAUGCAAUUUAUUUUUACUGAAGCUUGAUAGUUGUAGCUUUGAUCUCAUCUUGAUAGUUAUCACAGUUAGUCAAAUUAUUUUUUUAUCUAAUAGUCAAUUAUAGUUUCUUUAUAGCUCCCUUGGGCUUAUCACUGAUGUCUUCACGUUCUUUUAAAGUGAGGGAGGCAAAGAAUGAAGGUGCUCAUGGCGGAGGCCGUGGUGGGCGAGGAUAUGGACGUGGUCGUGGUGGUAGCAGUGGAUACAGACGUGAUUUUGCAAAUGAUGAGAAUUCCUUCAGCAGUAGUGCUGUACCUGAAGAUGGAGAGAGUGGAAAACCCUCUGAAAGGCAUGGCUAUGGUGGUCCUCGACCUUACCGUGGUGGUCGCCGUGGCGGUAUCAGUAAUGGGGAAAAUGCAGAUGGGGAGCGACCUCGCAGGUUGUAUGAACGCCGUAGUGGGACU
rnacentral:lncRNA from 1 species